GCAAGCCUCGGGUUAGAAGACUUGAUCCCGCAGGUACAACCUCGGAGUAGACACCGACAGGCCGGCCUUCCUCCGAUCUACACCUCCACUCUAUCUCUCUCAAUCUAGUAGAAACUAGAAGAUCUAUUUCUACUUACAUUGGUUGCUAAGCCUAAAAAGAAAUUUUAUUUAGAGAAGAGGUUUUCCUUCGAGGGCACCCCUCAACUCUAUGAUAACUUCUUGUCUCCUCUAGGGGCCAGGGGGGUCUCCUUAUAUAGUCCUCCUCCUAUAUGCGUUUUUGGGUCGGUAGGCGAUGUGGUACUACGUUAUCCUUGAUCCUUUAGGUCGGUGGAACAUCGUGUGCGAAGAGAGUCCCGAACGGAGUCCAGAGGUGGGCGGGCGCCCAGGUCCUCAGGGCGGGCGCCCUGGGCCUGGCCCCUUUCGGCCUCUGCUUUCUUCCCGUGGCUUCUGGAGUCUACUAGAUGGUAGAAAAUUGCGCGGUGCGUUGAUAUCUCUAUGUAAUCCCGACAUGUGGGCCUUUCUUCCUUAUUUCCUGAUAACCCCCUGCAGAAAUAGACAAACACCAAAACUCGUGGAAUUCUGUCAGAUAAAACCCUAAGUCUGGGUGUUGGUUGCAUUUGGAUCCUUUUCUUUAUUUAUUUGAUGAUUAUAUUUGGUACUUAAGGACCGUCAACAACUCCCCCAAGCUUACCUCUUGCUCGUCCCUGAGCAAGGAUGAACUCAAGAGUUUCUGCAGUGGUUUCAUGCCUUAAAAGUACACAUGCAUUCAAGCAAGAUCUCAUCUCUGAGUUAGAAUAAACUGUUAAGACUUAAAACUUACUCAUUUUACCUUUCACCAUGGGGCUUGUAACCGUUACCUGUGUCUUGAGCAGUUAAAAGAUAGAACGGUCAAGUCAAGCGCCGUGUCUCUUAUUCUUGAUCAGCUAUAGCUCUGGAGUUUCUGCAGAUUUCCAAAUAAAACUCAGAGAUUCCUUGUAUGACUCUCUCAGAUCUCUCUUUUGUGGUAUUUCUGGAUCCUUACCAAGGCAAUAAUGGUAUAUGUCUUCUCUCAAAGUAUGUAGUAUUUGUGGUAUGAGGCAUAGUGAUAUUGCUUUCUCUCUCACCCUACUCUAAUAAGGUUUUGAUAUCUGGAGCUCAUCGGUGGGAGACAGCUAAUACAUACUUACAAGACAUUUAUUGCAUAGUCAAACCAUGGAUCCAGAGAAACAAGUCAAUAAGUCAAAUCAAGAUGUGCAUGUGUGGCGAAUGAAUGGUGUAUGGUGAUGAUGGUGAUAACAAUGGUGAAAGUCUAAUUCUAUUUUUGCUCUUUUAAGGAGAUACAUACCUUUCUUGCACUUUGAAGCUUUUUGAGGAGAAUGAGAUGCUCUAUAUUUUCUUUUUCUUUCCUCUCAGGUGGGUAUCUUGUACCCCUAAUUCUACUGUCGGACACUUGUCCAUUUUUACCUCUCGUCUCACUUUUUCUUUUCUUCGAGGUUCCGGGCACUUGCCCCUUUUUAUUUCCUCGUAUUUUUUUUUCUUUUUUUUUUAUUUUUUUUAGAGCACUCAUCUCCUGAAAUAAUAUAGCAAGUGGUAGUAACCAAGAUAACUUGAGCAUUUAUUUCAUAGGGAAAACAGAAAUAGGAGAAUGUUUUUGGCUAUUCUCUCUCGGAUUAGGAGUAGAAUACUUUUGGGUUGGUCUGGAGAUGGAAAUGAGUGGAUAUAUGUGGAUGCGUACUUCCGGAGUAGAAGCAUCAUGUGUGAGUGAACGUGCAAGUGAAUCUUGAUUUUAACCACAUGACAAGCUCCUAGACCACACUCAAUGCUCAUAAGCAGUAAAGUAAAUGUGUGGCUCAAAGUCUAAUAAGCAUGUAUAUAUGGCUGUGGUAGGAUUUUAAACUCUCAUCAUACAGGAACUCAUCAUGUGUUAUUUUAAAGAUUUUCAAAAUAAAAUUUUCCAGAAUUCUAGCAUCUCUAGGAACAGAUAAACAACAGCUCAACCUUCCCAUAUCAUAUCCGUUAACAACUUAGACUUUAGAUCAAGUACUCUUCCCACAAGCUAAGGUUUAGAGCAGGUUUGAAUUAUAACAGUUAUGCCUAAACUUGAGAGGGAUUUUAAUUUUGAGAACUAGUCAUGGCAGAGCAACUAUUCAUUAUUUGCAUGUGAAAGCUUAUCAUGAGGGUUCAUAGCAAACUUUAUUUUUUUAUUUAGCAAACUAAGCAAAGAUAUAUAUAAAAGCACAAAAUCUUUAUUUGGGUUUUUAUGAUUAUGCAUCUUUUUAUUAUUUGAGUAAAGUAUAAACGCGAGUAGAAACACUUAGCUAGAUAAAUGGGAGUGCUCUCCCCCAAGCUGGAUUUUGACGUAAUUUCUUCUGAUGUAGCUAGCAGGUGAUGGAGGUGUAUUUGAAAGUCGGCAGCACCCUAACAACGAUUAGGAUGUCCUCCGUCUGCUAGUCUUUUUUGAUCCUUGAAUCCUGUGGAGCUCAAAUAGACAACAAAGCUUUGUGGAACUGGUUAAGUGUUAGCAUAAAUAUCUAGCCUUUAUCAUGUUGAGCCUCCUCAAUAAAUAUUACUUAUUUAGCAGGAUCGUGCACUUAUUAUUUUUAUAUUUUUAUUGUAAGAUGAAAACUUAUUUAUUUUAUUUUUAUGCCACCACAGUGAAUGUACUUAUGGGUUUUAUGCCAUGAGCAUACUCACAUGGGGCUUACUAUUUUUUUAACAUUUUUAUUUUUUUUUCAAGAUAGCAUGAACCUGAUUAACUAAGAAAACUAUUGAAUGGAAAAGGAUAACUACCAAGUUUACCUCUUGGCAAGGCGUUCGGUAUUUUUAAGUCCUCCGAACGGGACUCUCCAUUUUCUCAGUCGUCCUGGGAUUCGCUGGAUGGCGUAGUCGGUGGUUCCGGCGGCGCCUCCUCUUCGUGUGUAACUAUCUUCUCUCUCCACACCUGACUCGGUGCUACGGUCUCCUCAGGAUAGUUCUGUUCAAGCUAUAUGUCUUUAGACCUUAUCACUUCUCCUUCGUAGUCUACCCAUCCGUUCUUGAUGAUUUGCCUCCUCUGGUUGCGGUUGCGUUGUCUUCUUCUUGUCCUGACCUACUUAGAGUCUUCAACUAUAUAGUUAGGGUCAGUAAAAUAGCGGCGUACCUUCUCAGAGGGGAAGUACACGUGGACUUCUCCGAUUCCAAUGUAGAUGAUAACUUUGAUAGUAUUGAGGAAUGGUCUUCCAAGGAUGAUGGGUGGAUCGUACUCGUCUUCUCCCAUGUUAAUGACCUGAAAAUCAUCUGGAGCUGAAUAUAUAUUGAUUGUAGGGGCGUGGUUCCAUGCAGGAGCGGAUAAGUGACUGCGGCCAUUAUGUUGUCGUCAGAUCCGGUGUCGUAGAGUGUCUUCUAAAAAGAGUAUCUGUUGAUUGUGCACUCAAUGCUUGGAACACCAGGGUCGUCCUUCUUGAUCAAGAAAGGUGACUUGAGUCGAUGAUCUUGACCUCCUCUGACAAGGAUCUAAAGUUUUAAAUCUUCUGGACAAGACUUCUCACUGUCUUCAUCCUUUAGGUGCAUCAUUUGAUUAGGUGUGGACCUUGACAUCUGUACCUCUUGAUACGGUGUCACCCAUGUUCUUUGUUUGCCCAGCAGUUCGAAGUGCGGUGUUGGCAAUAUCCUGCUCAGUGUGUUUGUGCUCGUAGAUCCAAGUCCUUCACUUGGUGGAAUCUAGGAGUUGUAAAACUCCUUCAUGUUUUGCUUGAAGUGUACCUAUUCACUGAGACAAGGCAGAGAUCAAGUGCAUAGGCCCUGUUGGUGGAAAACACCAACAGAACCAGAAGUGUAAUUGUUCUUCCUUAAGCAUAGUGAGCAAGACAAAGUUGAUGGAUCAUGAGUGUAGCAUUUAAAACAUUUGCCAGAUCAGAUUGCUUGACCUAAUGGAAAGAUAAUCUAUCUAUAUAUAUAUUUUGUUUAUAUCUUCCAAAGAUUGAAUGUGCAACAUAUUAGCUUAUAUGAUUAGAAGCGUGGGAUCACGAAGGUAGUACUAAGAACACAGAGUAAAGGACUAAACAUGCUGAAUCAGUUGGGUUGGUUAAUUUGGAGCUACAAAUCAUACAUGUUUGUCUCUUUAUUUAUGUGAUUGUUAGAACCAAGGAGAAGCUUAUAAAAGCAAUAGUCAAGUACCUUAAGAUGUUACCUUACUUGAAGUGUGAUGGAAUAGUAUCACCUUGUGGAAGCUUUCCUUUUCUUAGCAGUUGUGCAUCGUGUUUGUGGCACCCUCCAUGAAUCAUCUCUUAUGAGCUACGUCUUUCUUGUGCAAAUUGUUAAACUUCAUGUGUCAAUUUCUUCAUCUCCAAUGUGAGUUUAUCUCAGGACUUCCUAGGUUGAUAUUGAAAGUUUUCCUGCAGGGGUUAGUCCCACAAAAUAUACCAAUAUCUACUCAAGCAGUUUUUAGUUCAGUAACCAAACUAGACUCCAUGUCUAAUCAGAUUAAGGAAGGCUAUUUAACCUAAGCACCAUGCUUAAUUUAAAUGCCAAUGGAAGUAUGUCGAGUACUUCCAAACCAACACUUGCUAGUAAAUAGAUAAAGGUGGCAUGACAACAAUUAUAGAGAUCUAUUGAAGUAGUGUGAUUAGUACUUAACAAAUUGAGCAUGUCUCAAAGGUAGGGACAACCAACAUAGCAACAUGGCAAAGGAUGUUUUUAUGUAAAGUACUCCCCCAAGCUUGAAUUUUGCGAAAUUCAAGUUUGGAUGAAUUUAAUUCAAUGUUGUAUGAUGGUUGGUUGGACAUACCUUGUGCUUGUCAUUCAUCCGAUCUUCUUGCUCCAAUCCUGGAAAGGUUAGUGGCAAGAAUACCCGAAGGAAUAUUUCUACAAUUAUCUCAAUAUGCUCAAUACACGAGGCAAUGUUGCAAAUUCAUGUUACGAUCUGAUAAGUGCUUGUUUAAGGACGCUAAGCUUAUCCUUGGGAAACCAUCAAAUUAUGUCGGCGAAGUGGUUUCCCCUCUAACGCUGACCUAUAUCAAGAUCAACUCAACGAGAUCUGCAAUAUUUAUUAUAGACACAUGCAUCGACAACCGCCCUUUUAAAGUUUUUAUAAAUAGAAAAGAAGAGGGGGUUGGAGAUCUCAAAUGUGGUGAUGUUGGAGAGACCAAUUGAUUGGGGAGAUGUUUUAUAUGAGCAAGGACUUGGUGAGGUAUUUAUGAAAUAACUUCCAUGCUCAAUGUUGUUUCUCUCAUUCUCAAACUCCAAGGAUGAUUCUUCAUGAAUGCUUAAAAUUCCUCUAGGAUUGUCUCUCAAGUUUGUUUUAUCUAUCCAUUCAAUGGUGAUAGCACAUGGAUUUUAAAUGCCCUCUAGCCAUUGAUGUUGCUCUUCUCGAUCCUCCUUCUUAUGCAUGGGAUAUCUAGAGAGAUUCAUAGGAUUAUCGAGAGGUUCAAGAGAAAGAGCAUAGUAGAAACUAUUAAGCUCAAGGAUGGGAUGGAUAGCCGAAUCAUGGGAUUGAAAUGUUUGGAAAUUGGCUAUUGAAACUUCCUUUCCUCGUCUAGGAGAUGAUUCCUUCUCUAUCUCUAAGAUUUUUCUAUGAAGACUAGUAUAAGAAGGAUGUCCACGAAUGAAGACAUACCUUCCUUUACUAAUAGAUAAAGAAAGAAAGACUCUACCAAUGGUUAUAUAAUUAAGACCAAUGUGAAAAUAUCAAGAAAAAACAUGGUCUUGUAGGGCUAGGUCUAAACCAGAAUUUAUAGAAAAAUUAACAGAUUCCCUAGGUGUAGCUAAAAGUGCAUUAUCUUCUUGAUUAAAAGAUAGGACCUCAGCUAUAGAAAAGGGUUGGUUUUGACCUAUUGCAAUCAACUCCGGGCACACAUCAUAAUUAGGGGCAGGACUUGUUGACUCCCAUGGUCUAUGGCUGGUCUCCGAAGGUGCAAAGAAUUCAAUAACAGGUAUGGAAUUUGAGUUAUCCAUAAAGAUGAAAACAAUAAAAAGAUAAAAGAAUAAAAGUAUAAAAGUAUAAUACAAGAUAAUAGCAAGACUUAAAGUUAUCUCAGCAAAUCGUCUUUCUCCCCGGCAACGGCGCCAGAAAUGCUUGUUGAUAUUUGGUAACGCAAUAAGGAAAUGAUCCGCAAGCGCACGGAUAUUGGUGAGCAUUUCACCCGAGAGGUUAUCCAGAGUUAUCGUAUUUAUAUUUUUACCACUAGGAGAAAGGGUGCAUCUGACUAACCAAAUCUAUUGCUACUAUCCCUUUAGGCUACAAAGAAUGUUUCUCGAUGUGAGUGAUGUAUAGAGAAGACUGCAACCGUAGUCUCGUUCUAACCUUGGUAAGGAUGAUCUACUGUUCUAUUGGGGAAGCUUACGGAAUCUAGACACCACAAAGGAUGUUCGACCCGCACCUAUAAACCUACCCGUCCUGCUAACAAGAUAUGGGAUACAAAGGUAACUCGGAAAUGUCACGUUCAUCGCUACUACCACGGUCCAGCUAGUCAGGGGAUAUCUAUGAGUACCCUAGCCCAAACACCACGUUUACGCUAGCAAUGAUUACUCUAAUACUCAACUGAAAGAGAUUAAAGUAAACUCAUAAACCAAAGAACAAUAAAACAAGAACUUACUAGAAUUAGAAGUCGAAUUACUGAAGAAUCUUAGAAGCAAGCCUCGGGUUAGAAGACUUGAUCCCGCAGGUACAACCUCGGAGUAGACACCGACAGGCCGGUCUUCCUCCGAUCUACACCUCCACUCUAUCUCUCUCAAUCUAGUAGAAACUAGAAGAUCUAUUUCUACUUACAUUGUUUGCUAAGCCUAAAAAGAAAUUUUAUUUAGAGAAGAGGUUUUCCUUCGAGGGCACCCCUCAACUCUAUGAUAACUUCUUGUCUCCUCCAGGGGCCAGGGCAGUCUCCUUAUAUAGUCCUCCUCCUCUAUGCGUUUUUGGGUCGGUAGGCAAUGUGGUACUACGUUAUCCUUGAUCCUUUAGGUCGGUGGAACAUCGUGUGCGAAGAGAGUCCCGAACGGAGUCCAGAGGUGGGCGGGCGCCCUGGGCCUGGCCCCUUUCGGCCUCUGCUUUCUUCCCGUGGCUUCUGGAGUCUUCUAGAUGGUAGAAAAUUGCGCGGUGCGUUGAUAUCUCUAUGUAAUCCUGACAUGUGGGCUUUUCUUCCUUAUUUCCUGAUAACCCCCUGCAGAAAUAGACAAACACCAAAACUCGUGGAAUUCUGUUAGAUAAAACCCUAAGUCUGGGUGUUGGUUGCAUUUGGAUCCUUUUCUUUAUUUAUUUGAUGAUUAUAUUUGGUACUUAAGGACCGUCAACAAUAAGGAGAUAGAAUAUGGACCUAGAUGUCACUGGAGAUCAUAGAAGAAUGCAACUAUCAGAAUUGGAAGAAUGACGAGAGAAAGCAUAUCACAAUUCAAAGAUCUAUAAAGAAAGAGUCAAAAGGUGGCAUGACAAGAGGAUUAAGAAGGAAUUCGCACCCGGAGAUAAGUUAUUACUUUUUAAUUCCAGGGUGAAGCUUUUCGGGCAUGGAAAACUCCGGAGUAAAUGGGAAGGACCAUUCAAGGUAAUUAAUUCAUCAUCCCACGGAGCUAUCAUGCUUCAAAAUGAUGAAGGUACGUUAUUCAAGGUAAAUGGUCAACAUCUUAAAUUAUGUUUAGAGCCCAAUAAAGAAUUAGAAGAGAUAGACGUGAUCCAUUUUUACCUUCCCAUGGAGAAUUAGAGGCCGACCUUUUUAGUCUGACGUUUUUGGGCCACGUAUAUAUUCUUCGAAUAAAGUCUGCAUCUAGAAGCACGCUCGAGGAAGCGGGCCCACGGAGGGGCCACACACAGGGCGGGCGCCCUGAUGAUGAGGGCGGGUGCCCAACCCCUGUCCCCUCUCAAUCCCGAUUUACUCCGUCACGAUAAACACAUUUAUAAUAAACUAAAUAAUCAUACAGAUGGAAAGUUUCGCACGCACGGCAGCGGGAGUAGCCUGAGCAAACCCUAGAGGCACUUUUUGACCCCUAUAUAAACAGACCUCUAACGUCAGUGUUCAACACCAAUUCAUACAAGCCUUCUCUCCUUCUUCAAUUAGAGCUUGCUUAGUCCCUCGCUACUCCAAUAGCCGAAGAGUUCCACGAUGAUUGCGAAGUCGUCCCCUACGACCUCAACAAGAAGCCCAAGGAAGACCCCGACGCCUACGCUCUCGUCCCGGCCAACACAGAGCGACAGCUAGAAGCCAUCCUAUUACGCCAACGCAGCUCCACCCAAUCCUACAAUGCUCAACCAGUUCUCACCGCACCGCCGCAGCCCCUACUUCUCAAGGGACCGUCAGCCAAGAAGGAGGCCACCGUUAAGGUGCCAGCCGACACGAGGAUCCUGCCACCCAAGCCCAAUGAGCGGGUCGUUGGAGUCAAGACCAACCGGAGCGGCGAGAUCAGCAGCAUCCGCUACACUAUGGAGGAGGAGAGGCCUUACUUUGAGGGGAUUAGAGCAGCCAAAGUCCGUUUCAUCCCUCCAAAGGCAGCCCCGAAGCACGCUCUCAACGCUCUCGAGACACCUCCUAAGCGUCGUAAGACUAUAGUAGAUAUUGAUGAGGACGUUCGUAGGCUAGACAGGGUCAUCAUAGAGCUCCAGUCCUUGGUUAACUCUAUCACUAGGCAGCUCUCUAACCAGAACACCAUUAUACUAGGUCUUAGGCAUGAUCUUGCUAGUGCCAAUAAGAAGAUUAGGGAGUUAGAGCGCCGUAAGUUAUCUAGAUUAGAUCUUGAGGCAAUGCGUCUUAGUUAUUUAUCUUUAAAUUCGGUUUAGAUCUAUUAUUAGAUCACUAGUCAUUUGUAAUAAAUGCCUCAAGAUUAAUAAAGAGUAUUAUUAUUAUUAUGUCUUGUGUGUCUCUACUUUGUUUUUAUGCAAGAAAGCAGAAAACAAGUAUGGGGGAGAUCCCUCGGCACACCAAACGUACUUCGACUACACCACUCCACGAUUCAGGUACAUACUCUGCACACUUUACACAUACAUAUAUAUCUUGGAUUAUGCAGAAUAUUGUCUCCGACAUGAUAAAUUAAAAAGAUUAAAAUGUUUCUAAUCAUGAUUAAUCUCACUCUGUGAUAUUUCCUAAAAACCUGCAAUUAUUGAAAAAACAUUUUAAAACCCUGUGUCACUUAAGUCAUUGUGGAAUGUGAGAUGGUAGAGUAUGAGUAUCUUAUUCUUGAUAUCAUUGUUGCUUGGAGAAUUUAUUCAAAAAUUCUAGCUACCAUCCUCAGUAUUUUAUAUACCUACUAAACCUGAACAUAUUAAUAAUUAUAAAAGCUAUCUGCUCUGUUUUGAGUUUGUUCAAAAUGAGUUAGACCCUUAUUGAGAGAUUUAUCAUACUCCUAAGAUCAAGACAUUUAUUUAGAAAGAUUCACUCUUCCGAAGUAUUAUUGCGUUAGAGGCAUGGGCUAUGCAAAAAAAAGGAUAUUUCGAGGAAAUAAAAAGGAGCAAGUGCUCGACAACCUCGCAGAAAAAAUGGACAAGUGUCCGGCAGAAGAAUUAGGGGUACCUCAGUAUCCACCUGAAAAGAGAGAAAAGAAAGAAAAUGAUAGCCCAUGGUCCCUCUAAUAAGCAAUAUGCCAGUAAGAGUUGACACGUUUUUAAUUUCCAAAGUCUUUGAUCUAAGAGUAUGACAUUCCUCUCCUCGGAUUCCAUUUUGAUCAGGCAAUAAAUAUAAAGUAAGUAUGCUUGAGAAUUUUUACAAAUUAAAACAGCCUCAGUGAGAUAUACAAAAGAUAAUGAGUGACCUGAGAGAACAUAUGAGGAUAAAGGUAUGCUAAAUUUCUUUUAAAAAAUAUACAAAAACUCCAAGUAACAGGAUUGAGAAGAAAGGAUCUCUACUCUUGACCAUAUAUUUCCCUGACUACGGUACACAGUGAAUUUUUACAACACCCUACAGAUAUGAAGAAAAUGCUUUACAAUGUUUUAACCGUAGAUAUUUUUCUUAACCAUCCUUUUCUCGAGGACGAGUAAAAGCCUAAGUAUGGGGGUGUUUGUUGACGGUUCUUAAGUAUCAAUUUUAAUUAUCAAAUAAACAAGGAAAAGGACCAAUAUACAAACAACACCUAGAAUUAGGGUUUGAUAUGACAGAAUUCCACGAGUUUUGUUGUUUAUUUGUUUCUACAGGAGGUUAUCAGGAAAUAGGGAAGAAAGGCCCACAUGUUGGGAUUACAUAGAGAUAUUAACGUACCGCGCAAUUUUCUAUCAUCUAGAAGACUCCAGAAGCCACGGGAAUGAAUGGGAAGGCGAUCGGGCCCGGGGGCAGGGCACCCGCCUUGGUGUUUCGGCCAAUCGCAUUCAACUUCGCGGAUCAUGCUCCACCGACCUAAAGGAUCAAGGAUAACCGUUCAAUCAAUGUCGAUUUGAUCCGACGGCCCACGUUCACCUGAGGGGACUAUAUAAGCAGACCUCCUGGCCCCUGAAAGAGAACAAGUUCAUCAUAGAGUUGAGAGGUGCCCUCGAAGGAUAACAUUUCCCCUACAUAGACUUAGAGCUUAGCAUCCAAUGUGAGAGUAGACUAGAUCUACUAGAUUGAGAGAGAUAGAGUGGAGGUGUAGAUCGGAGGAAGCCCGGCCUGUCGGUGUCUACUCCGAGAUUGUACCUGCGGGAUCAAGUCUUCUAACCCGAGGCUUGCUCCUAGGAUUCUUUAGUAUUUCGACUUCUAAAUUCUAGUAAGUUCUUGUUUUAUUGUUCUUUGGUUUAUGAGUUUACUUUGUUCUCUUCGCGUAGAGUUUAGAGUAAUCAUCUCUACCGUAAACGUGGUGUUUGGGCUAGGAUACUCAUAGAUAUCCCCUGACUAGCUGGACCGUGGUAGUAGCGAGGAACGUGACAUUUCCGAGUUACCUUUGAAGCCCAUAUUCCGUUAGUAGGAUCGAUAGGGUUUAUAGGUGCGGGUUGAACAUCCUCUGUGGUGUCUAGAUUCCGUCAGCCUCCCCAACAGAACAGUAGAUCAUCCUUACCAAGGUUAGAACGAGAUUACGAUUGUAGUCUUCUCUAUACAUCGCUCACAUCGAGUCACAUUCUUUGUAGCCUAAAGGUUAGUAGUAAUAGACCGGGUUAGUCAGAUGCACUCUUUCUCCUAGUGGUAAAAAUAUAAAUACGAUACUCUGGAUAACAUCUCGGGUGAAGUGCUCACCAAUAUCCGUGUGCUUGCGGAUCAAUUCCUUAUUGCGUUACCAAAUAUCAACAUAUACCACGAUGUGCAAGUGUGUUAGCAUUUUCACAAUCAUUUUCUUCGAAGGAGUUAAGUUAGCUCACUAGGUUCUAAAUGCAUGCACAUGAACAAUGACACCUAGUGGCACUUGAUAACCGCUUAGCCAAAGAUUUCUCCUCUUUAUAGUACGGCUAUUUAUCCUAAAUGUGAUCACACCCUCUAUAGUGUCUUGAUCACUAAAACCAAAACCCUAAGCAAUGCCUUUGCCUUGAUCUCCAUAGGGUUUUGUUUUUCUCUUUCUUUUUUUCCAAGUUGAGCACUUGAUCAUCUUGUGGUCAUCACCAUGAUAACCAUGAUCAUCUCUUGCUCCAUCACUUAGCAUGUACCAACCUCAUUAAGUCUACACACUUAGUAUAGAGUUUAGUACUAGGAUUUCAUCAAUUAUCCAAAACCAAACUAGGACUUUCAAGGGGGCGGGGUGCGGCGCGACGGCAGGGGAGAAACGAUGGCAGGGGAGAGACAACAGGCAGGGGAAGGAGAAAAAAAAUAGAGGGAAGCGAACGGGGCAGUCGUUUUGUCAGGCCGGGUGCACCCCACCAUGAUGCGCGCCGGGGUUGCCUAACCCGCCAUGAUGUGCGACGGGGUUGCCUAACCCGCCAUGAUGGGUGGCGGGGUACACUUUGCCACGUAUCCCGCCACGUCAGCAGGCCUCUGGGGUGCCAGACUAUGUGGCACCUUGACCCCACCGCCAUGCAUGGUGGGGUAUAGUUCAUUUGCCCCGCCAUGCAUGGUGGCGGGGCCAAACGGACUAGUUUUGAAAAUAUUUUCAAAAAUAGGUCAGAUCUAAUAUAUAUUUUAAAUUUGGGCUAAAAAUAAAAAAAAUCCGGGGGCAUGGAGAUUGGAGAAGAGGGAGGAGGUUCCCUACCACGAGACAAAAGCUGACCUUUUUUUCUUAAAAGAACAUCUUUUUUUUUUGAAACAAAAGUACAGACAUUCGGGAAGGGAAUUUGCCUUGCUACUGGACAAACAUCCUUAAGUACUCGUAGAACGUGACAAAAUUAUUUGAGUAACAUUUAUAAUUUAACAUCUACUCUCUCCAUACAUAAAAGAAUGCUAUUUUGGGAUCUAUGCCAGUUAACUUUGCUCAACUUUGAUAAAGUUUAUAGUAAAUAGUAUUAGCAUUUUUGUCUUCAAAUAAAUUCAUGAAAAAAUAUAUUCUAUAAUUAAUCUACUGAUAUUUAUUUUGUAUAAAAAAUGUUAGUAUUUUUUUAAAUAUAACUUCAGUUAAAGUUCAAAUUGGUUGAUUCCUUGAUAAGUGAGAAUUGUAUUUUUUUGUGGAUGGAGAGAGUAACAUAUAUCUCCAUGUUAUACUCGAGCUAAUGAGUAAGCUGUCACUACGUGAAAAAAGCACUAAGAGAACGCCACCCCCUUCCACUAUAGGGGCGACUGGCUUUGGAGCCGCCCUUACAGUGGCUUGGACGGGCCCCAACUGGUCAUCCGCCCCUACAGUGGCCACUGUAAGGGCGGCUAGUGUUAUCAGCCGCCCUUACAGUGGUAGGUCACAGUAAGAGCGGCUGAAUCACUGGACGCCCUUACAGUGGACUACUAUAGGGGCAACUCAAUCACCAGCCACCCCUACAGUGGUUUUAGACAAAAUUGGUCAAAUGAGACACUAAAUAAUGUCAAAUAAAAAUCUUUUGAAUACUAAGAUUAUAAAACUCAUCAAGAUCUACAUUUAUUACAUAGUUUAUUUUUGCAUUUGAGGAAGUUUUAGUAAACACUAGUCAUAGGGUGGCUCAAUUUAUCCCCAGCCGCCCCUACACUGGUUUUGGACAAAUUUGGUCAAAUAAGGCACUAAAUAACCUCAAAUGAAAAAAAAUAAAUACAAAUAUGUUAGAACUCAUCAAGAUCUACAUUUGAUACAUAGUUUUGUAUUCAUGACUUUUGUAUUUAUGACAAUCUCAGGUUCAGUCAAAGUGUCUUUUUUAAAAAAAAUCCAAUAUUUAGAACUACACUUUCCUAACACUUUGUCAAAUUUAAAAAUGACCUAUGUAUCAAAUGUAGAUCUUGAUGAGUGGAGCAAUCUUGGUAUUCAUGACUUUUUUAGUUGAGACCAUCCAGGGUUUCGAAUAUAGACAUGUACCGUCGAAAAAAAUCAAAAUUUAAAAUUUGAGUGGUUCAAACUUUGCCAAAUGAAAAGUUGACCAUUGAACCAAAUGUAGAUAUUGAUGGGUUUGACAUUAUUUGUAUCCAUUAGUUUUGUAUUUCAGACCAUCUAGGGUUCAAUCAAAGUGUCUUUUUGUUAAAAUCCAAGAUUUGACUUGGUCAAAUGAGGCACCAAAUGACCUCAAAUGAAAAGCUUUUGAAUACAAAGGUGUUAGAACUCAUCAAGAUCCACAUUUGAUACAUAGUUAAUUUUGCCAUUUGAAAAUGUUUUAGUAAACUCUAGUCACAUGUUUUAAAAUUCCAAUAUGUGACUUGGUCAAAUAAGGCACUAAAUGACUUCAAAUGAAAAAGUUUUCAAUACAAGGGUGUUAGAACUUAUCAAGAUAUACAUUUGAUACAUAGCUCAUUUUUGUAUUUGAGAAAGUGUUAGUAAAUACUAGUCGCAAAGUCUUGAAUCUCACGAAUACUUUACGAAACUAUAUGUGAGACUUGUUAAUUUAGAACUACACUUUCCUAACACUUUGUUAAAUGCAAAAAUGACCUAUGCAUCAAAUUUAGAUCUUGAUGAGUGGACCAAUCUUGGUAUCCAUGACUUUUCGAGUUGAGACCAUCUAGGGUUUCAAAAACUAGCAUGUAGGUGUGAAAAUUUCAAAAUUCAAAAUUUGGGUGGUUCAAACUUUGUCAAAUGAAAAGUUGACCAUAUACCAAAUGUAGAUCUUGAUGAUUUUGAUAUUCUUUGUAUUCAUUACUUUUGUAGUUGAGACCAUCUAGGGUUCAGUCAAACUGUAUUUUAGUUAAAAUCUAAGAUUUGACAUGGUCAAACUUAGUCAAACUUAGUCAAAUGAGGCACUAAGUGACCUCAAAUGAAAAAGUUUUGAAUAAAAAGGUAUUAUAACUCAUCAAGAUCUACAUUUUAUACACAAUUCAUUUUACCAUUUAGAAAAGUUUUAGUAAACUCUAGUCACAUGUUUUAAAAAUCCAAGAUGUGACUUGGUCAAACUUGGUCAAAUAAGGCACUAAAUGAUCUCAAAUGAAAAACUUUAGAAUACAAGGGUGUUAGAACUUAUCAAGAUCUACAUUUGAUAGAUAGCUAAUUUUUGCAUUUGAGAAAGUGUUAGUAAACACUAGUCACAAAGUCUUGAAUCUCACAUAGACUUUGUGAAACUAUAUGUGAGACUUGUGGAUUUAGAACAAUACUUUCUUAACACUUUGUCAAAUAUAAAAAUGACCUAUGUAUAAAAUGUCGAUCUUAAUGAGUGGACCAAUCUUGGUAUUCAUGAUUUUUCGAGUUGAGACCAUCUAGGGUUUUGAAAACUACCAUGUAGGUGUCAAAAUUUAAAAAUUCAAAAUUUAAGUUGUUUAAACUUUGUCAAAUGAAAAGUUCACCAUUAUACCAAAUGUAGAUCUCAAUGAUUUUGAUAUUCUUUGUAUUCUUUACUUUUGUAGUUGAGACCAUCUAGGGUUUAGUCAAAGUGUAUUUUCAUUAAAAUCUAAGAUUUGACUUGGUCACACUUAGUCAAAUAAGGCAUCAAAUGACCUGAAAUGAAAAGUUUUGAAUACAAAGGUGUUAUAACUCAUCAAGAUCUAUAUUUUAUACACAGUUCAUUUUACUAUUUAGAAAAGUUUUAGUAAACUCUAGUCACAUGUUUUAAAAAUCCAAGAUGUGACUUGGUCAAACUUGGUCAAAUAAGGCACUCAAUGAUCUCAAAUAAAAAACUUUAGAAUACAAGGGUGUUAGAACUUAUUAAGAUCUACAUUUGAUACAUAGCUAAUUUUUGCAUUUGAGAAAGUGUUAGUAAACACUAGUCACAAAGUCUUGAACCUCACAUAGACUUUUUGAAACUAUAUGUGAGACUUGUGGAUUUAGAGCUACACUUUCUUAACACUUUAUCGAAUGCAAAAAUGACCUAUGUAUAAAACGUAGAUCUUAAUGAGUAGACCAAUCUUGGUAUUCAUGACUUUUUGAGUUUAAACCAUCUAGGGUUUUGAAAACUAGCAUGUAGGUGUGAAAAUUUCAAAAUUCAAAAUUUAAGUUGUUCAAACUUUGUCAAAUGAAGAGGUGACCAUUAUACCAAAUGUAGAUCUUGAUGAUUUUGAUAUUCUUUGUAUUCAUUACUUUUGUAGUUGAGACCAUCUAGGGUUCAGUCAAAGUGUAUUUUUGUUAAAAUCCAAGUUUUGACUUGGUCAAACUUGGUCAAUUGAGGCACUAGAUGACCUCAAAUGAAAAAGUUUUGAAUACAAAGGUGUUAUAACUCAUAAAGAUGUAUAUUUUAUACAUAGUUCAUUUUACAAUUUAGAAAAGUUUUAUUAAACUCUAGUCACAUGUUUUAAAAAUCCAAGACGUGACUUGGUCAAAUUUGGUCAAAUAAGGCACUAAAUGAUACUUUAGAAUACAAGGGUGUUAGAACUUAUUAAGAUCUACAUUUGAUACAUAGCUAAUUUUUGCAUUUGAGAAAGUGUUACUAAACACUAGUCACAAAGUCUUGAACCUCACAUAGACUUUAUGAAACUAUAUGUGAGACUUGUGGAUUUAGAACUACACUUUCUUAACACUUUAUUAAAUGCAAAAAUGACCUAUGUAUAAAACGUAGAUCUUAAUGAGUAGACCAAUCUUGGUAUUCAUGACUUUUCGAGUUUAAACCAUCUAGGGUUUUGAAAACUAUCAUGUAGGUGUGAAAAUUUCAAAUUUCAAAAUUUAAGUUGUUCAAACUUUGUCAAAUGAAGAGUUGACCAUUAUACCAAAUGUAGACCUUGAUGAUUUUGAUAUUCUUUGUAUUCAUUACUUUUGUAGUUGAGACCAUCUAGGGUUCAGUCAAAGUGUAUUUUUGUUAAAAUCCAAGUUUUGACUUGGUCAAACUUGGUCAAUUGAGGCACUAGAUGACCUCAAAUGAAAAAGUUUUGAAUACAAAGGUGUUAUAACUCAUAAAGAUCUAUAUUUUAUACAUAGUUCAUUUUACGAUUUAGAAAAGUUUUAUCAAACUCUAGUCACAUGUUUUAAAAAUCCAAGAUGUGACUUGAUCAAAUUUGGUCUAAUAAGGCACUAAAUGACCUCAAAUUAAUAAAUACUUUUGAAUACAAGGGUGUUAGAACUUAUCAAUAUCUACAUUUGAUACAUAGCUAAUUUUUGCAUUUGAGAAAGUGUUAGUAAACACUAGUCACAAACUCUUGAACCUCACAUAGACUUUAUGAAACUAUAUGUGAGACUUGUGGAUUUAGAACUACACUUUCUUAACACUUUCAAAUGCAAAAAUGACCUAUGUAUAAAAUGUAGAUCUUAAUGAGUGGACCAAUCUUGGUAUUUAUGAAUUUUUGAGUUGAGACAGUCUAGGGUUUCGAAAACUAGCAUGUAGGUGUGAAAAUUCCAAAAUUCAAAAUUUGAGUGGUUCAAACUUUGUCAAAUGAAAAGUUGACAAUUAUAAAAAAUGUAUAUCUUGAUGAGUUUUAUUUUGUGUGUAUUAUAGGAAAUUAUCUGAGGUCAUUUAGUGUUUUAGUUUUCAAAGUUUGACCAAGUCAAAUAUUUUACAUGCAUUUUUUAAGUUUUUCUAAAGAACAAACUUUGAAAUUAUAUAUAUAUAAGUUUUAGACAAAGAUAGGAAACUUUGAUGAGUUCUACUACUUUUGUAUUGACAAAAUUUUCAUUUGAAUUCAUUUAUGCUAUCUUAUAGAAUUUAAUACAUUACUAACAGCAAAAGAAAAGACAAAAAUAGAAAUAUUCUUAGGCAAAGACCAGUCCAUUUUAGCCCAAAAUGUGAGAUGGGCCCAAUACUUGUCAUAGGCCCUGUUGCAACUUCGAUUGAUAGCAGCCGUCGAUCUCUCGAUCCGAUGGUUGAGAACAUUGUCCCUCCCAAACUCUAGCUUCUCUUAACCACACGCACAGCCCGUCCACCUUAUCUCCUCCCGAGUGUAGCCUGUGGGUCUCUCUCCUGGCCUUCCCCCUCGCUGGCUCCGCUCUCUCGAUGCCGCCGCCGCCGCUGCUCCUCCCAUGGCGACCUCUUCAGGUCUCUCUCCCUGCUUUCGUCUGUCCUCUCCUCUCCCCGCUGUCCAUGGCUGCAGCAGCGUCCUCCUCUGCCUCGCCGCUCCUCCUCCCCUCAGAUAUCUUCUUUCGUUGCAAUCUGAGCCCACUCCAUCCGUUUCCGUUGCUGAUGAAUGUGCUGCCUGUCCACAGGGCUGUGGGGGUAUAAACCCCUAUACCCUUACGGCUAGACUUGGGCCAGGAAGCUUGGUCUAUUACGAGACGAGUUCCAGGCUUGAUCCGACAGCUUGGAGUUUCGCGCAAGGAAACAAGAUGUGGAGAUCAAGCCAAGAUUCUAGUCGGUUAGAAUAGGAAUUGAUAUCGAAUUAUCCAUGGCAAUUGUAACCGACUAGGGUUAGUUUCCAGAUCUGUAACUCUGCCCUCCAGACUAUAUAAGGAGGGGCAAGGGACCCCCCUAGGACACAUUAUUCUCUCAAUCCAAUACAAUCAGACGCAGGACGUAGGUAUUACGCCAACUCGGCUGCCGAACCUGGAUAAAAAGCUUGUCCGUGUCUUGCGUCACCAUCGAGUUCGUAGUUUGCGCACCGUCUACCGAUAAACUACUACCUUGGGUAUACCCCAAGGUAGACUGCCGACUAGCUUUCGUCGACAGUGGCGCGCCAGGUAGGGGGUGUGCGUGCAACUUCUCUGGCGAACAAGAUGGUUACGAUCCCAGCUUCCGCGACCGUGCCUGAAGGCCUCACGUUCACCGUCGGCCAGGUCACGUGGACGACGUGCAGCGACGGCCUCACAACCACAGUUUCGAAAGAAACUCAAAUCCGAUCUGAGACCACGCCGUCUCCGACCACUCGCGUGGCGGCACCGAGCGCCCGACCACCGCUCCCGCGCUAUAAGGGAAAGAAGAUCGGCUGCUCGGACCUUCUCCAAGCGCUCGAUCGCGCUGAUUCCAAGCUACUUGAAGCCUCCCAGCUAGUGGACGGAAUCCUGCGUCAACCUGAUCAAGCUGCUCCAACGGAUUUUUUCAAAUCCCGUCGACCAACUCGUGUCGUUACACACGAACGGCUGGGAACGUCCCUGACGAUAACCUCAACUCCCUCAGGACGAUCCGUCAAGCUCAAGAAGGGAGACUAUCCUUGCGGCCUCAACAACUCGGCCUCUCUCUACUCGCGGCACAUGCAAUCCGUUUUCAGCAAAGCGGGUUGGUCGCCAAAAAGGAACGAUCGACACUACGUCAACAUGGUGACAGUCCAAGAACCACGGGACGGCCAGGCUUCCAGCACCAACUCGAGCACCGGUUCCGUCCCCACCGAAGUUAUAAACACCGAAGACGAGGACUACGACCUGGAUUUGCCCUCGCACCCUUCGGGUUUCCCUCGUUUCCCGGUAUUCCCCCCUCGGCGAGGAGAUAUUGUCUUCAACGUCAGCGCCGACGAACCGGUCGUCGAUGGAGAAACGGACGAGCAGAGGCAACUCCGCGAGCAGCGCAACGCCGAUCGCGCCCGACGACGUGCGGACGAGCAACAACAAAUUCCACCGCAUAAUCUCAACGACGCUUUUGACAUGGUCGGGGACCAGCCAGUCUACAAGACGCCAAGCGCCAACGUGGCUGUCGCCAUGGCUAAUCUAGAUCGGCUCCCUGAUACCCCUGAGUGCCAAGGAGUCCGGACCAGCAUCCGAGCACACCUGAUCGCCGCAAUGGGACAGACAGCCACUCUGCUCAAGAGAGUCCAGGACGUCUCUUACACAGAAGCCACCUCCGACCAGACUAAUCGUAGCCGGACCUCACCACCUCCAAGCAGGCGUCGCCGUAGCCGCUCUCCCGACAACCAUCAAAAAAAUUCACGGCGCGACGAUGGUGGUCGGGACACUGACGGUCACCGUGAGCAGAACCGCAGACGCGGUCAAGAAGUAAACCAACACAGGGAUCUCCGGCACAACAUCCCUCCCAAAGAUGCUCGGGACCGCAUCAACAGGCGUGCCACAGAGAGAGCAGCCCACGAAAACCUGCGCCGUAUUGAGUACGAUGCAACACACGGCCCCCCGGGCCUAAGGCAAUUCUCCUCACACCUCCGCCAGGUCGUGUGGCCCCGCAACUUCAAGCUCGAAAAACUUAAAAAAUACGAUGGCAAGGAAAAUCCAGAGAACUGGAUCACUCUCUAUGAAAUCGUCAUCCGAUCAGCAGCGGGAGAUGAGCACGUCAUGGCCAACUAUUUCCCCGUAGUCCUCGACCAGGCUGGUCAUCAGUGGCUUCUCGGCUUGCCCGAGGACUCCUUCGACUCUUGGGAAGAGCUACGCCAGGCUUUCAUCGACAACUUCAUCGCCACAUGCGAGCAGCCUGGAAAUAAGUAUGACCUCGAAAGGAUAAGGGACAGGAAGAACGAACCUCUGCGCGAUUACAUCCGACGAUUCUCGGAUAUGCGCCUUAAGAUCCCGAAGAUUUCCCACGACGAGGCCAUCUCUGCCUUCAUCAAGGGCCUGCGCUUCCAUGAAGCGCUAAGGAACAAGCUGUUGUGUAAACGGCCAACAACGGUGGCGGAGCUCCUCGCCACGGCCAAAAAUUAUGCCGACGCCGACGACGCAGAAAAACUAAUCCGAGACGAUGCGAGAGGUCCUGACCAGCCUCUGAGGUACUGCUCAAAUGCAUAUCCCAAGAUGAUGGUAUCAAGCUCCUACAAGACAUACAUGCUGGAUCCUGCGGCAAUCAUGCCGCAUCCAGAACGUUGGUCGGAAAAGCCUUCCGGGCAGGUUUUUAUUGGCCAACCGCGGUCAACGACACAGAAAAAUUGGUCCGACACUGCGAAGGAUGUCAGUUUUUCGCUAAGAGGACCCACGUACCUGCUCACGAAAUUCAAACCAUCCCGUCGUCCUGGCCCUUCGCUUGCUGGGGGCUUGACAUGAUCGGGCCAUUUAAACCAGCUCCCGGCAACUUCAAGUUUGUUUUCGUAUUAAUCGACAAGUUCUCCAAGUGGAUCGAAUACAUGCCUCUGGUCAAAGCAACCUCCGAGAAGGCUGUAGAGUUCCUCAAUCAAAUCAUACACAGAUUCGGCAUCCCGAACAACAUAAUCACCGACCUGGGUACUCAGUUUACUGGCACCACAUUUUGGGACUUCUGCGAUGACAGAGGCAUAGUCAUAAAAUAUGUGUCAGUGGCUCAUCCACGGGCCAAUGGUCAAGUUGAACGCGCAAACAGAAUGAUCAUUGACGCCCUAAAGAAAAUGCUGUACACCGAGAACGACAGAGCACCCGGUCGAUGGAUGAAAGAGUUACCUGCCGUGGUCUGGGGCCUCCGAACUCAGACCAGUCGAAACACAGGAGUAUCUCCCUACUUCAUGGUCUACGGCUCCGAGGCAGUCCUGCCGUCUGACGUAACCUUCGGAUCUCCUAGGAUUGAACACUUCGACCAGGCGACAGCCGACAACGCCAGAGAACUCGAAAUCAACUGCAUGGAGGAAAAGCGUUUGAAUUCUUGUCUCCGAACAGCAAAGUACCUCGCGGCAGUCAGGCGAUACCACAACAGGAACGUCAAGGACCGUUCCUUCAUGGUCGGCGACCUGGUACUUAGGUGGAGAACAAGCCAAGAGGGAAUGCACAAGCUCUCCACUCCCUGGGAAGGACCCUUCGUGGUCGCCGAAGUCACACGACCCACGUCCUACAGAUUGGCAUACCCAGACGGGACACGCGUGCCUAACUCUUGGCACAUAGACAAACUUCGACGAUUUUACCCAUAAAUUCUAAUAACUUUCGCUUGUAAAUAUCUUAUAAUUGUCAAUAAUAAAGUUUUCUAUUUUUUGCCUAUACUUUGUUGCAUGCAGAACUCUUGGCAAACCUUCUGCAAUGGAAGCUCCUAGCGACUACAAAGUCGAAUACGGUGACACGUCACUCAGAAAAUUGUACAGCGCUCAAAAUAACAGUCAUGACAAAAGCAAACUUUGUUACAAACUUUACAUACAAAUUUUACAAUAAAUACCCUGACGGGCAUACGCUAGUCUAUUCCUACAGACUACCCUAUCGGCCUAACUGCUCGGGCUGAUCACCCGUUUGGCCCUGCCGCCCGGACGAAGGGGUCGGGGCCACCGGCGCCUAGCUGGUCGAGACCGCAGGCGUCGACCGCCCAUCUCCCGCAACGGACGCGCCCGACAGCUCCCUGGCCGACCUGUCUGAGCCUGGCUGGUCGGGGGGAGUGGCCGUUCCGCACAGAUUGAUGUCGCCGAUCACCAUCGACGACAAGUCCAACAGACCACCCCGAAGCUCGUCCGCCUCCUGCGGGCCGACCUCCUUGGGGUACCCCUUCUCCAGCCUGGACAAGUCGACCAGGGGGUAGUGGGCGCGCACCAUGCUAAGGACAUGCGCGCCAGCGAACUCCCCGGCGUCCUUCACAAAUUGCUGGAGCCAGUCCCACGCCCGUUGCGCCUUCUCCACCGGAGUCAACUUCGGCGCGCGGGGCUGGCUCUCUGGGAGCUCGGGACUGAUCAGAUCCAGGACCGGGGACACUCCCUUCCAGAUCUUACAACAGUUGACCUUCCAGGAGUCCCGGUCCUUGACCAGCUCAUCCAGGUGUUUCUUGGCUUUCACCUUGAGCACUGCAAGUCAAGCAGGACGUUAUCUUCGACAUAUCAAAAAACAAAGGGGGUUACAAGGGGCAGAUAAUGAGGCGAUGCGUAUUACCAGAUAACUCCCGGUCCUUACGACCCAACUCCUCUCCUGUUCGACGCCCGUACUCCAGUGCACCAGCGAGCUCUUGGCUGAGCUGCUCCUUCUCCUGUCGGAGGCGCGUCACCUCCUCCUCCAGGUCUAAAUGAAUCAUAACCUGGUCAGCAAAGCAAACUACACAGAUACACGCAGGUGCUCGGAGCGCGUGACUAACCUUCUCACUGACGGUACUGGUCGGCCAAGCGACGGGUAAGCUCGAGACGAUGCUCCUGUUGGGAAUUCAUCUCGGCCACUUCCUCUCCAACCUCCGAUCGCAGCCGGUCCACCACCGCGGCCAGGGCCUUGUUCUCGGCCACAACGCCUUCUAUCUGGUCGAAGCACCGUUUCCGGUACUUCGCCGUUUUCAUCGCGCCCUACAAAACGAACAUAUGACAACCAAGCAAGACAACGCACAGAAUGUACAACAGCGCAAAGAACCGCUUACCUUGACUUCGUCGACGAGGCGUUUGGCCGCGCGCUCGACUCUGGCGGCCUCCUCGGUCUCGGCGAGCUCCUCAUGCCCGAUGAAGUGAUCCCCGCGUUGGCGCCACACAUACACGUGUUGGCGGCCAUCGCGGGGACGACCUUCAAUCUCCUCCACCUCGUCGUCGGAGGCCGCUUGGGUUUCCUCCUCAACCGUCGUAUUGCCCCCGGUAGCAGUCGAAGGCAUCACUGGCCCCCGGGCCAGACCCGGGGAUCCUGCAGUCGAAGCGGCCCCUGCUCGGGGCGGCGUGGGGACUUCGCUCUCCUCUGCGGGACGAGGGGUCGGGGCUCUCCCCUCCCUUUCUGUCGCGUUCGCUAGGGGAGGUGCCCCUGUAGCCUCCUCAGCCCUGGCCGGGCUGCUCGCCGUGGUCGGUGCCGCGGCAGGGGGCUCCUCGGUGCUCACAGGCACGGCUGUAGCCGCAGGCUGCUCCGUGGUCUGCGGCGCCGCAUCUUCAGCAGCGCAGGCAGGUUUACCCGUCCCCUGGCCGGCGGCAUGGCCGGGGUUGACAUCCGAUGCCGCGCUAAAAGAACAAAAGUAUAAUAAAAAAAAUGCCAAAAAAAAUGCCCAAGUCUCACUCGGGGACUCGGGGACUGGUCGAACACUUAUAGGUCCGAUCGACGGUGGGUCUCGGUGAACCUCCUCCUCGUCCGGCCAGCUGGCACCUGCGCUCCCAUCUCGACAACACGCGGUGCAGGAGGGUCGCUGGACAACCGAUCAGUAGUGGCCGGCGCACUAUCUGGGCGGCUCCGAGGACGUCGAACUAGCGACGGUGCGGCCUCCUCGUCGUCGUCGUCGUCAACGAUCCGCACGAGCUGACGGCGCUUCGGCGCUUGGCUGCUCUCCGCCGGCAACGUUGGCACCAGCAAAGGAUCCGCUGCCAGUGGCCUUUUCCCCGCCACCCUCUCCUCGGUGGUCGGGACGGGGCGGGCCUGGUCCUCCUCACUGCUGGUGUAAUGAGUACACCGAGCAGCGUCCUCCUCUGGCGGGUCUUCUCCCGCAGGAUUCUCCAUCCCCGGUGCCAGUGAUACAUACACUAUGCACCGGUCGACUUCGCCGAUCUGCAAAAGCAACAAAGAUAAGUCAGCUGCAGACGAUAAACGAGUUCUAAAACAAAAUAAUUUGCUACAUACCUUUGGUGCUGGUCGUCCUAACUUGAACGCUUGCACCCGAUCACUGCCACGGAUGAAGCCUCCGUCCGCGAAGUUGAACAGCUCGUUCAACAGCUAUUGUACCUCCGCCUUCUCCAAGAUCUCCGGCCGCAUCCUGGUCGGGUCCACGCUUCCGGCAUACUCGUACGCCGCGUGCACCCUCUUCUGGCAGGGCAUCACUCGGCGACAAAUGAGGUUGCCGACCACGCCAAUCCCGUCCAGGCGCGACCAGUCGAUCAGCUUCAUGAGAUCCGCCACUUGACCGUCAAAAUCCGGGCGGUCUGUCCAGCUCACCCUCUUCUCAGGAAUGUAUCCCACAUCGCAGAAUGUGGAGCUGCCUGGUUCCUCCCUGAUGUAGAACCACUUCCUGUACCAUUCGGUCAAGGAAGUGUUCCAUGGACAGUGCAGGUAGCGAUUCUUCAUUCCAUCACGAAGGGUAUACUCCACCUGCAACCUUGGAGCCUCCAACUGCUCCCUUUUUCCUCAAGCAGAAAAGAUAACGAAAAAGAUCGAAGUGCGGCUCUAUGCCGACAUAGGCCUCGCACAGGUGGAUAAAAGUAGAGAUGAGGAGAAUUGAGUUCGGGUGCAGAUUGCAAAUCCCGAUCUCAUAAUACAAAAGAAGACCUUGAAGAAAAGGAUGAACAGGAACCCCAAAACCCCUCUUAAUGAAAUCUUCGAACACGACGAUCUCACCGGCACGAGGGUCGGGGAAGCUCUCUCCUUCCGGCGCUCUCCAACCGCCGAGCUCCGAGCUGUGCAGGAGUCCCAUGUCGACGAGGUCACCGAGGGACUUGGUGGUGCUGCGGGACUUCUUCCACUCCUUGGCCAUCAGUUCGGCCCUCUUCUUGGAGUCGCUCUUCGCCAUUGGAGGUGAGGAAGUGGACUUAGGUUACGGGGAUGAAGGUGAUUGAAGGAGGCAAAAGAGGAAGGCUUGAUGGCAAUGGCAGGGUAAGCAGUACAGGCGGAACUGUCCAGCUCUUAUAACCCGCAGCUCCACCCCUCCCACUUCCUAUAUUCUCGGGAAGUGGGCGGGCCAUGCGGUGGAUGCGGUGUUUCGGUUUUCAAUGACUAUAGACAAUUAAUGCGGCGGAGUUUUCGUACCAAUUGAUGGUUUCCUUUUCUCAAACCACGCAAAGGGCGGCUGCACAGUUGCUAGAUGCAACUUUUCAUGCAUCCAUCUGACACACCAUCAGAAGGUCUCGUCACGUCAACUUUAACUGGGAAGAUUUUUUCAAAAACAAGAAGACAAAUAUGGCAGAGAGUCAACAAUCCGGGGACUGCACCGACCACCGAGCAAUUGAUGCUCGGGGACUGGUCGACCAGUCUAUCAGCUCGAACACGAAGGACUGCACCGACCACCGAGCACCUGACACUCGGGGACUGGUCGUCUAGUUUAUCGACUCGAAACUUCAAGGACUGCACCGACCACCGAGCACUUGAUGCUCGGGGACUGGUCGCCCAGUCUAUCAGCUCCGAACUUUAAUAUAUCGCACCGACCACUGAGCGCUCGAUGCUCGGGGACUGGUCGUACAGUAUAGCAACGCAGAAUUCUAAGGAGUGCACUCGGUGCUUGGGGACUGGUCGUCAUACUAUUAUAUACCCGGGGACUAGUCGAUUAGUCUAUUUAAUUGAAGACGGACUGGUAAAUUCAAUUUUUUAGACCUUGCUACAAGGCUUAUACUUCGCCUUCCAGCAAGCUCGGGGACUACAUCGGUACGAUGCAUCUGGCGAUACAUCUCAGAUACAGAAUUUCUUUGAGGACUUUUAUUUUGACCCUGGCACCACGUGCCUACGUCACCUACUACCAGGCUCGGGGACUAAGUGGGCACACUUCACCUAGCGGUGAAUUUGCUUGCUCUUUUGAGGUUUAUACCUUUCAAAAAAGUAAAGUGGGCACACUUCACCAAGAAAGAAAUCUUUUUUAAUUUAGAGCACCAUGCAUUCUUCGAACAAUUCGCUUCUUCGAUGUCAAUGUUGAUCAACUGUCUUUUGAGUUGGUCAAAGAACCGUUGCAGCUGUUCGGGCGACUUCCCUGCUUAUUGAAGACGUCAAGUCUAACUGAUCGAAGAAGCUCAAGACGGCGUGUUACAUCAUAAUACAUGGUGCUCGGGGACUAGCUGUGGGGGUAUAAACCCCUAUACCCUUACGGCUAGACUUGGGCCAGGAAGCUUGGUCCAUUACGAGACGAGUUCCAGGCUUCAUCCGACAGCUUGGAGUUUCGCGCAAGGAAACAAGAUGUGGAGAUCAAGCCAACAUUCUAGUCGGUUAGAAUAGGAAUGUAACUCUGCCCUCCAGACUAUAUAAGGAGGGGCAAGGGACCCUCCCUAGGACACAUUAUUCUCUCAAUCCAAUACAAUCAGACGCAGGACGUAGGUAUUACGCCAACUCGGCGGUCGAACCUGGAUAAAAAGCUUGUCCGUGUCUUGCGUCACCAUCGAGUUCGUAGUUUGCGCACCGUCUACCGAUAAACUACUACCGUGGGUAUACCCCAAGGUAGACUGCCGACUAGCUUUCGUCGACAAGGGCCGAGGCAUGCGUCGGCCUUGGCGACGGCGUGGCUUCGGCGGCGGCGGCGCGUUCAGGAGCAGGGCGCUGAUCUCAGAGGCAGUGUGCUGCUGCAAGGCCGCCGCUGUCGGUGGAAGCGCGGCGCAAUGCGGGGUGGCUGACGAGUUCUUUAUCGGUGGUGGCAGCAAUACCCAGACUGGGCUGGUAGGAGUGGCCCUGGGAGCCUCUGCCUUGGGGCUGGCAGCGUUUGACGUCGUCGCCACCGGGUUGCCGCCGGAGGAGAAGCCCAAGCUCUGCGACGCCGCCUACGAAACCGAGCUCCAAAAUGUAGGUUGACUGGUUGUGUUACAGCGUGUGUAAAUUAUUGGAUUUCAGUUGACCGGUUAGAAAACAAAAUAGCAUUAAUAAGGUGCUGGUUUUAGAAAAUUGGAUUGGAUUGGAUACCUGCAUUCUUGGAUUAGUUAGUAAUUCCAUUCAUUUCAUGCACUACGGAAUACUUAUUAGUAAUAUCCUAUCGUUUGGAUAACAAAUCUCUCAAUAAGAUUAACUGUUCCAUGGUACUUGUAUUAUUUUGAGUGUUCUAACAUCGAAUGAACUUUCAAGGACAAGCAUGAGGAGAACCGCCAACCAAAAUGCAUGGAGGACUUGUAAUCAAGCAUAACGCUAAGCAACGAUAUGCUACAAAUGCUGUGACAACAUUUAUUUUCCAAGAAAUUGCUGAGAGACACCAACUACUCUGCUGUUUUUACUAGCCAUAUACUCACAGAUCGUUUCACUUCGUGCCAUGUAGGUAGCUGCAAAUUAUGUUGCUAUGGUGCCAAAUGGGCAGAUUUUCGACAGGUGAGAUUUGGAGAACUGAUAUGUGACCUUCAGCUAAAGGGCGGCCACAAUUUUAUUAGGAGAAAAAAUAAAAACAAAUACUAGUCAAGUUUACAAGCAAUUUAUUUACAAAAGACACAUAAAUGUACCUGGUGUCCUAUUCACAGAUCAGGACUUGCAAACUUAGAAAUUGUUCUUUGAGCAUUUUGUUUAUGAAGCCAUUCCAGUUUUUAUUGUGUUUUGGUGCUUUGUGCAGUUCACUCGAGAAAGGUCAGCCCUACAUAUUCCGUGUUGGAUCAGGACAGAUAUUAAUUUCUGCAUGUUCGGUUUGGUGUCCAUGUUCUGAAAUAUAUUAUAAAUUGGAGCUAGUGAUUCAAGAAUAAAUUGAUUUGAAUAUGAAAUCGAUGAUGCUUGCACUUCUCAGCUUCAUGUCUAUCAAUGCAUCAGUUGACUAAGAUACAUUGGCAAAAACAAGAAACAAACUAAAAAGACAAUUUUAGUUCAAGCAGAAACAUUUCCGAACCAGUUGUAGCUUGAUGGUGUUCCUAACAUUUAGAUAACAAAAUAAAUGGCAUAAUCAUUAUGCUAUCAUUUGGCAGGUAGUACUGGAUGUAUAUCCAUGUCGUAGAGGUCUAACAACGAACCAGCGCCUAUCAUCAGGUAUUUCAUCACUUUUUGUGUGCUUGCUAUUUUUUGACACAUGUUUCUUUGAGGUAUACUUACUGGAUUCAUAAGUAGUAAAUUAGUUUUCUAUUAAUUGCUUUCCUCUCACUGUUUCUCUGUAUAAUGAAUAUAUUUUGCUAAUUGCCUUAUACUAAAAUUAAUUAGAAUGUACUUGUACUUGGUUCUUGUUCUGAACAAUAUAUAUCCUUCUUGUAACCUAGUUUUGAUUUUUAAUAGAUAAGUUUUGAUUUUUAAGAGAUAAUUGUUUACUGCCAGCACGAUUUGAUUGCUGGAGAUCUGUUGUGAAGUUCUCAUUUCUUUGCACCUCUGAACACAGCCAAAGAUCUGCUGUUGCUAGAGCUGAGCCAGAUGUAGGACUAGGACACCAUUGAUCUUCUACAAGCCUGAGCUUGUAAGACAAGGAUCUUAUUUCUUGCUCUUCGGUGAUGGAUUUUGAUUGCAGUUCUAGCUAGCUAGUAUAUUAGAUUUUUUCAUAGAUUUUUAGAUCUAUAGAAAGAGUGGAACUUAUGGAUUUGACAAACUUGUGGAACUUGUUAUGAUAGAACUUUUAAAUUUGUAAAUUUGAUGAUGGAAUUUGAAUUUGAUGUUUGUGAUGUGAUGUGGUCAGAUUUAAUAUUAUAUAUAUGCUAUGUUGUGGUUAGAUUAGAUUUGAAAUAAUCAUAUAUAUAUAUAGGGAAAUUAUAUAUAUAUAUAUAUUGUGCUGACUGUCCUAUUUGAUUAUUGUACUUUUUUUUCUGAAAAUUAACUGUAAGAGCGGCUCUAGAUUGAGCCUGUUCCCAGCCGCCCUUACAGUGGACUACUGUAAGGGCGGCUGGUGUUGAACCGCCCUUAUAGUAGAAACCACUGUAAGAGCGUUUGCAUAAGGGCGGUUAGACCAGCCGCCCUUACAGAGCUUUUUUAGCCGCCCCUACAGUGCCUGAGUGUAGUAGUGUGUCAAGUAACACGGGUUUGAUGAGAUGGCAUGAAGUUUUGUCUGAAUAUCUAUGGCUUAUCAUACCAAAGUUACUCAUUUUGAUUCGGUAUAGGAAUGCAUAUAGAUUGGCUAAGCAAAAUGAUCUAUCUACUAUUAUGUAUCAUGAUCUAAUGAUGGAUAAUAUUGAUGAGGUGACUGACAAAAGAAUGAAGGCUCUAAAGGACAUUGAGAGAGACAAAUCUUGAGUUGUCCAGGCUUACAACAAGAAAGUUAGAAGCAAGUAUCUUCAAGUUGGGGAGUUAGCGUGGAAAACUGUUCAGCCACUUGGGAUGAAAAGAAACAAGUUUGGAAAAUGCCAAAUGGUCUCUAAGCUAGGAGGGUCCAUGAGGAUCAAGGUAGUGUUCAAAAAUUAUAUAUGUUUGGACCAGUAUAAGGCCCAUUGUCCUUCCGAGUCCAAUGUCCAAAACACUCCAAACUUGAUUAACUCCUCCAAUCUUGUGGGAAGCCUGCAGAUCAUGACUUGGGAAGGUUUUCUAGUGGGAAUGUGGGAUAAUACCACCACCUUUAUAUAAAUAUAUCAGAGGAUCAUGACCGGUUGAGAUUAACCAAACAUAAUCUAUCCAAAGUCAAUCUACUACUACUAUUUUUCCACACUUUUAUAUCUUCCAACCCUUUGCCAUCCAACGCCUCUCUUGACGAGAUCCAUUAGGGUUUUAGGUGGCAUUGCUGAUCCUAGGACAACGUCAUUGUACUUCUCCGUGAGGGAUCUUUUCAGGAGGUGUUCACGAGCUUUUCAGACAAAGAACGGACGUCUACAUCGCAUGACCGACUUAGUGAUCAGCCUUGCUGUUUGGACCCCUCUCUACGUGCUAGGAUGCGUGCAGACUCAGGCGUACUAGCCCUUAAUGGUAUGUGAUCCUAAUCGGUUCAAUAGUUUCAUGUUGAUUAGUUUUUUUAGUGUACAUAUAUUAUUUUUAAGUGAAUCAAAUUACUUGUCUUUUUGAGUGGUCAUGAAGAGUAGAAGCGCAUCCAUGUAAUGGCCGAAUGAUAAUAUAAGGAAGGGCCAAAUAAAAAUGGCUAGGUGUUGAAUAUGGCCUCGUGAUAGGUCUAGCAUGAUGCUUGGUUAAUGAAAAGAAGAAGAAAGAAGAGACCAUGUGUGACCAACAUGAUGCGUGGUGAGUGGGGCUGGGGAAUGUUAUAUUGUGUACAUGUGAGUCGUGUGACAUGUGAGGCUCACGCAUAGAGUAGUUUUGCAUGCAUGACCUAUCUAAUAAACAAAAAGAAGCAAGGAUAAUCGUGUUUGUGUUGGAAAAUGAGGGAAAUGCCAAGUGCAGACUCUAUCCUAGACUCCCAGGUGCUCACUCCAUAAAUGAUUAGACUGACGUGCUGCAGUUGUGCCCCGGCCGAGUAGUGUAGAGAGAGAAUAUAGGCAACAACUGAUCCAUUGCAUCUCAUUCAGUAUAUAUAUAAGUUAUAGCUAUGGUGGAUGUGCGGUGCACAUGUUUAAGACUCGUGGGUGACUGUGGUCACCACGCUGAGAAGCUAUCCGCUAGGACAAACCUGAGAUGCAUCGAGAUGAUGCACAAGCUAGAGCAGAAGGCUUCAAAGGUCGAUGUAUGCAAGCCCUUUGUCAUCACAUUGGUGUACUGCUCACCGUUUGGAACAUGUAGAACACGAAGGUCGCCUAGUUGAAAACACUAAGCCGAGGCCGAACUUGUCGAUGAAUGUGUCAAAGAAACAACGCCACUUGGUGUAGUUGGAUUCAACGAGAUUGAGCUCGACGAGGACAUGCAUCUAGAUGUUCACCAUCUGCAAGACAGCCACUGAUGGUGCGGCUAUGAUGGGUCCGCCAAAGGAUGCAUCAAAGUCGACAGAGGAUUUAGAGGAGUGGAAGUCGACGUCGGACUGGUGGAACUCUAAGAGUUGGUUGGCAUUGGGUAUGGCGCUGAAGAGAGGGAGCAUCGAUGGUGGACAAAGUCGACAGAGGAUUUAGAGGAGUGGAAGUCGACAUCGGACUGGUGGAACUCUAAGAGUUGGUUGGCAUUGGGUAUGGCGCUGAAGAGAGGGAGCAUCGAUGGUGGACAACGUCGCCAGAGGUGAACGACAGAUGCAGAAGAGAGGAGAGCAGGAUCAAGCCGUGUCUACUGAUACUAUGUAGAGAGAAAAAGAAUAUGGGCAACAAUUGUUCUAUUGCAUCUCAUUCAGUAUAUAUACAAGUUACAAGUAUGGUGGGUGCGCGGUGCACACAUCUAAGACUCGUGGGUGACCGUGGUCACCACUUCAAGAAGCUAUCCGCUUGGACAAAACUGAGUGUAUCUCAACACCGCCCGCAUUCGGUGUGUUCUUCACACGUUCAUCGGGAUGACGCACAUGCUAGAGCGAAAGGCUUCGAAGGUCGAUGUAGGCAAGCCCUUCGUCAUCACAUCGGUGUACUACUCACCGGUUGGAAUAUGUAGAACGUAGAGGUCGCCUAGUUGACACGCGAGCCAAGGCCAAACUUGUCGAUGAAUAUGUCGAAGAAACAACGCCACUCGGUGUAGUUGGAUUCGGCGAGAUCAAGCUUGACGGGGACAUGCGUCUUGAUGUUCAUUGUCUACAAGACAGCUGCUGACGACGCUAUGGUGACAGAUGCGUCGAAGGAUGUAUCAAAGUCGUCGGAGGAUUCAGAGGAGUCGGAGUCAAUGUAGGACUGGUGGAACUCAAAGAGCGAGUUGGCAUUGGGGACCAUGGCGCCGAAGAGUGGGAGCAGCGAAGAAGUGAUGGAGCAGCGAUGGUGGACGACGUCGCCGGAGGUGAACCAAGAUCAAGCUGUGUCUACUAAUACCAUGUAGAGAGAGAAUAUGGCCAAUAACUAUUCCAUUGCAUCUCAUUCACUGUAUAACUAUAUAUACAUGUUACAUCCACAGUGGAUGCGCGGUGCGCACGUCUAAGACUCGUGGGUGACUGUGGUCAUCACAACGAGAAGCUAACUGCUAGUACAAAACUGAGUGUCUCUCGACAAGUAGGAAAAAAGACCCCAUGUCAGGGGCAUUGCUCAUAUGGCCGUAUUACAGGAAGGGAGAAGACUAGGAGCUCUUGUUGCCCCGGCUCCGGUUUGUCUAGAUUUCCAAAGGGAUGUUUUUCAGUUGUCCAAGGAAGAAGAGAAGUAGCAACUUUAGUUGAGCAGGGAGAAAAGAGAGGAACCUAUGUAAAGUUUUGGGAUGUUGUGUUGAAAUCCUUACAUUAAUAUUUUGUAUGCACCUUUGAGCACAUAUAAGCAAUAAAGAUAAGCUUUACAAAUUGAAAUGUAAUGGUAAUCUCAUCUGCUCCCUUAUCUUAUAUGCUCACUCAUGAUUUCAAUGGUGCCUAGAAAGACUUUUCAUUGUAGGAAAUGAUUAGACAGACUGACCCCCAUUUCACUUUUGUUCUUGUAGCAGACUUCCUCCGGUGCCUAAUCAACAAAGCCAAAGAUACUAGGCUCUUUUUUCGAGUAAGUGUUUAAUGUAUUUUGGAGUUCAAUGGUUUAAAGGUAAACUUCAUAGAGUCAAUGAUGGUCUCAAUAAAUAUUUCUAAGAAAAAGCUAGAGCAAGGACUUUUGGCUAUGAAAAGAGUUCAAUGCCAUUCACUUACUUUUUUGAGAGAGUGUGUGUGUGGGAGGGGGGCGGGGUGGAGAGAAUCCUCUACCUGGGCCUUGUUUAGUUCCUGAACUAUUUUGCAAAAUAGCAAAAUCCCAAACAGAAUGUUGAGCACACCAAAAUGCUGCCAAGAAGUAUUUUGGUUUUGGUGUUUACUUCACCAAAACAUUUUGCAAAACUGCAUGUUGUUUACUCCCAGCUGCAUUAAAUGUAUCCCAUGCAACUCCAUGCACAUGCAAUUGCUGUGGUUUUCUGGGCUGCAUGCAACGUAUAUAGAGUUCAAAGUAUAUAUGCAAUGAAAUUACAUGAACUGUUCAUGCACACUUUAUUACAAAUAAUCUGUAAUCAUCCUAUUACAACAUUUAUUACCUAUUACAACCACAUACUGGGCUCAUCAAUGUUACAAUGAACAUCACAGCUCAUAUAAGUCCUCAAACAUUCACAGAAAAUGGAAUGAAUACAAAACUGUCCUCAAACAUUCACAGAAACCGUACCAGUCAAAUAAACAAACUUGUGAAGAACCACCAAAAUUUUAGGAACCAGUUGCCAUAGCAUAAGCAAGCAAAUCACGGAAUGCAGCCAUCGGGUUUGGACCAUCUUCGACAACCUCAGGAGGUGGCUGAUUCUCAUACGCUUGCCGCGGCACAUAGUUCUCAUUAUUGUCACACCUAUGGAAGUGCUUAUCUGCUAUGCCACUGCUUCUCAUAAAAUUAUGCAGGGCCAUACAUGCAACAAUUAUUUUGGAUUGCUUGUGAGGUGCGUAUGGAGGGAUCUUUUGCAACAUGCGCCACUUCAUUUUCAAAACUCCAAAUGCCCGCUCAAUAACAUUUCUAAGGCUAGAGUGCGCAUAAUUGAAGAUUUCCUCUUUACCUUGUGGCUCGGGCCCGUCACGGAACUCCUGCAGAUGGUACUUGUUUCCUUUGUAAGGAGCUAGGUACCCCUGCUUGUUCGCAUAGCCUGAGUCCACGAGAUAGUAUUUCCCUGCAUCAACAGACAAGCAGUUAGGCACACUGUCAUCAAGUAUUACAAUCAGUCAUGUGUAUCAAAUAGUCAGUACCUUGAGGUGGAUGUGGGAACACAGCGCUAUAUGUUGUUGUCGAGUCAUUGAUCACUCUCAUGUCAUGAACAGAUCCAGGCCAACCAGCAUUCACAAAGGUGAACUUCAUUUCGAAGUCACAACAAGCCAUGACAUUUUGUGUAGUGAUUCCCUUGCGGCACAAGUGCUGAACAAACAUGUCAUUUGGCACUACACAUUGGACAUGAGUCCCAUCUAUGGCCCCUAUGCAGUCCUUGAAAUGUGGAUAAAACCUAGGAUUUGUAAGCCUUGGAUGCAGUGUUCUAAACUCUGGGUCAACUGGCUUAAUUAUGUCUGCUGCUAGCUGCACAAGGCUAUUCAAGACUCUGUUGAACAUUUUUGACACAGUCCCCAAAGACCUCUCAAAUCUGUCCUCAGCUUGCCUAACAGACUGUGGUGCCCCAACCAUCCAUAAGAACAUGCCUAGAGCCUCAAAAGAAGUCGACUUGGUAGUCGAUUUGAGACCGUACUUAGCACAUAAAAGCUCAUGCAAGGUAAAGAACAUUGUAGGGGUCAUUCUAAACAUGUUGUAACAUGACUUCUCACUGGCCGUCUUAGCAUGAACCCAUUCAAUGCCACUCAUUUUAGGAACUCUAUAGUCAGCUCUACACAUGUACUUGUCUAUGUGCAUUGCAUAUUGGUACAUACCGAAGAUGAACUCAUCCUCCUCAGCAUCUUCCAUCAUCUCAUCCAGCAACUCAUCUUCUUCCUUCUCCAACUGCUGCAGCAACUCCUCCCUUCGUGCAUCAUACCAAGAAAUCUUAGCCUGCCACAAUUACAACACAGACUAGUCAGCACAUGGUACAACACAAUCAAGGUUACCAGAAUGCCCCAAAAGUACCAUAGUAGCACAUACAAAUUCAUAAUGCAACAAAGAUUGGUGAUCAAACAAAUUAGUACAUUCAAAGGUCUUUCCAAACAAAUGACAACAUAGAGUUCAUAGUUCUUGAAAAGAAAGAAAUAAAACCACACACACGUACGCACUACAACAUACAACCCUAAACCAAAAGCAUCGGCCCUCCUCUCCACCAAAAGGUUCUACACUGUCAGUGCAACUACCGUCAGUGGAACUACGGCGCCAUUGCUACAUGCAUUAGAUGGAAGGUGUUCUAGGGGUCCACCGGCGGAGGGUUGCUGGCGAGCUUCUGGAUGAUUCGUAUCCUCACUGUCUCACUUGACGAAAGGAACAAAUCCAUCUGUGCUUCAUUCUCUGCCAGAGCAAGGAGUCCGUCCAACAGGGCUGGCGUGUCUCGAGAAAUGCCAAGCUCAUGCUCAGCAAUCCUAGAGCACUCAGCUAUUUUCCAGUUCACAGCUGUCCUUGCGGCGUCCUUGUCAUGUGCUUUUUUCUGAAGGGCAUUCUUGUGAACCUCCAGCCUCUCUCUAGCAAGCUCCAAAUGUGAGUUCAUGUGCUGGUUCAUGACCCUCGCGUAUGUGUUCUUGGUCUUCUUGUUGGGGCUCGUUGCAGUUGUGCUAGUGCUUCCUGUCCUUUUGGUCCCAAGGCUCAUAGGGGGACGGGUGUCCUCCUCAUCUGCUCCUUCCUCAUCAGAUGAAACUUCUUGGACUUCAGUUGUUGGACCAGCAGCUGGAACGUACGAUGAGGAGCCGUCCACUGUGUUCCCGGCAAACAUCUGAUCAAGCUGAUCUAAGUACGGAGGCAGUCCAGUUGACCUAAUCUUCAUGAACUCGGUUUCCUGCAGGCAGUGCAACAGUUACAUAUUGUUGGAGCUGUAUAAGUGAAUUCCAAAUUAUAGUCCAUGAGACACAUACCGUAGCGUUGUCGUUCCACCACUUGUCUGUAGCCUGGAUGAACCCGUCAGCAUCUAUGUUAACUCCAGUGUGAGUACGUGCAAGGUUACAGAACCUCCACAGCUUCUUAAGGGUCCUCUGCUUGCCCUGCAAUUGUUCCCUAUCGUGCAGCAAACCUGUGGCAGCAUAGUACCUACUGCUCAACCCCUUCUAGCCAAAUUUGUUCAUUUGGCCUCCAGAGCAAUUCCCAUAGUGCAUCUCUAGAACAAAGCACUCGCAGUACUUCGUUAGGUUAUCGGUUGUCCAAUUUGCUUUGCUCUUGUGGACCUAAACCGUGAUAACCGAGAGCACAAAUUAUAUAUAACAUGAAUAACGUAAUGUCAUAAUUGCAGAAGACUAUGAGGGCAAAUUCAACAUGCACUGUGGCGGCAGCGUUGUUCGCAGGGUUAUAUGUACUAUACUAAUGAAUUCUGUAAUAUGUUGAACAGAUGUGUCCUAAUUCAUUGAUGGAACAGAAAACAUGGGAAGCUUGACGGCAGUUAACAGCAAGAGAAAAAGGUAUAAAAGGAUAAAGGAACAUCAGUUCACUCAGUCAUGAAUACAGCAAGAGAAAAAGGAACCUAUUCACCUAUACAAAUGUAAACGCGACGCCUAUCAAUUAUCAAAAGUUUGUGCUAACUCACAUCUUCUAGAUAGUCGCUGAAUUCUUAGAUUUGCUAUUUCAUUAGAAACAUAUGGGAUAAAUAAUAAAAUUCAACACACCGCAAAUAUUGGUGGACAUAAAUGGAUGUCAGGCAACACAACAAAAACAGGUGACAAAACAGGUAUCUACUAAUGUCGAUGCACAAUGUUCGUGAGAUGGUAUCUCUGAUGAUCGUGUUUUUUAUGCAGGUUUGCCUAAAGGUGCAAUUUGGUCCAUCUCACUGGUUUGGCACUGACUACCUCGCCUUUUUUCAAACAGAUAUUUGACUGUCUCAUGGAACACUUUUGGCUUUGAUACUCCACUUUUUGUUUCGCAAUCUUCUUAAAUUUAUUAUAUCCAUUUCAGAUGUUAGAAAAUGGAAGUGUUGCUGGAGAAUGCUUGAUCAUUACCAACUGUAAUCAAGCUCAGUGUCAUGCUCGCACCUAGCUCAUAAACCUAGAAGUGAGUUCAGUGGCAUAAGUCCCAUCAAGCUAUGAAGGCAGCUGCAGCGCGAGGAGGACUAGGCUCAUGUGGCUAGGUGAAUAGGCGCGACAGACAGCAAGCGAAGGGAUAAGAAAACAACUUAGGCCCUGUUUAGUUCCCCACCAAAAAUUUUUUCAUCCAUCCCAUCGAAUCUUUGCACACAUGCAUGGAACAUUAAAUGUAGAUAAAAAAAUAAACUAAUUACACAGUUUAGUUGAGAAUCACGAGACGAAUCUUUUAAGCCUAGUUACUCCAUGAUUAGCCUUAAGUGCUACAGUAACCCACAUAUGCUAAUGACAGAUUAAUUAUGGUUAAUAAAUUUGUCUUACAGUUUCCUGACGAGCUAUGUAAUUUGUUUUUUUAUUAGUUUCUAAAAACCCCUCCCGACAUCCUUCCGACACAUCCGAUGUGACACCCAAAAAAUUUUCAUCCCCAAUCUAAACAGACCCUAACCCUGAUGGAGGACUCAGUAACAGAUGGAGGACUCAGUAAAAUGAAUGUUGUUUUGCAUUAACUGCUAUUCCCUAGGAGGCUGCUAAUAUGAAUGAGAUGAGCACCAGUACCACCUUGUUUCUCAUUAUUUAACUGAUGAAUUCUGACUUUGGCAAAUGCUAGCUGCACUAGCAGAUCUUUAGAACAAGAGGUCAGAUGCAUAGAGCAUUGGUUAAAAUUUCUUGGAACAUGACAACAUAUCUUGGGCAUCAGGGAAGACCUCUUAACGGAAAAAGGAUAUUGUAGAGAUAACUGAUUUAAAUAUUGCAAUUGAUAAUAAUUUCCAAGGGUAAUUCCUCUGAAUUUAAAAUAUUGGUUCAUUAAUAUGUCAUCCUGAACUCGACACAAUAUAUGUAAAAUUUUAUAAUGAAUGGUCUAUCUUAAGUUUUAUCUUAGGCAGAAUGUUGCAUGCUCUCUUUUAUUUUUCCAGGUCUAAGACUUCAUCCGGAAUGCUCAUGAUGAUAAACUUAAGCAAGAGAACUCAUGACUGGCAAGAUAAUUAACUACAAUUCUGCCAUCAUACAAUCUUUCAGGAUUUCCUCAUAUCUGACAUCAUACAGUCUUUCAGGAUUUCUGUGUCUAUGUUUCGACCUACCUGUUCCUCAUAUUUUUAUUAUGUGUUUUGUUUCAUUCAUGUAGUCUCAGGCCUGCGGCUUUUCUGACUAUGAAUACCGUGUAUACUAAUCUGUGUGAAUAAUGAUAUUUUCAUAUGCACAGAAAUAUCUACACGUAUAUCCACACCCAUGACAUCUACACCAUUUUGAAGCAAAGUUCAACAAACUUUUACUGAUCGCGCGCAGGGCCGCGCGUUUCCUACUAGUACUAGUAUACAACAUGCAACAUUUACAAAGAUGGGGCAGGAUGUUCUGUACCUUUCCGGCCGAUGCGUGUGCGCGGUGACCGCGUCCUCGGCCUCGUGAUGGCGUGCGUGCAGAUCGGGGGUUGCUGCCCCCGUCAGGCGACAGCCGGCCGCCGAAGCUGUCCUCGGCUGAAGGCUCAGUUGAUGGCGCUUGCCGAGGCGGGCGGAACAACGGACGCCGCGAACCGCCGACCGACGGAGGUUGAACGGGAGGCGGCAUGAGGUCCCUGCUGCCGCGGAGAUGCUCGGCGUAGUGGUCCACGUCUUCUGGCGCCCAUUCCUCGCCAGCGUUGAUGUCCAGGCCGUCGAACCCUAGGUGCGGGUUCGGGUAGGAGCUUGAACCAGCGCCAGAGCCGAAGGGGCUUGGACCGCAGGAGCCCCAGAAGUCCCGCGUCACGGCGCCGGCCCCAGAUCCACUGUUGUGGCUCCGGUUGAAGGCACCCUGCUCGCCGUCGAAGCCGCCGCUGCCAUGCCCGGCCAUGUUUCGCAAGGAACAGGCGAGGAGACUACACGAGAACGGUGGAUCUACUGGUGGAGCAGGGACGCGAGGGAGGAGAGCACGGCGCCGGCAGAGGGCGCGGACGGGAGGGAGGAGAGCAGGCGGCGGCCGGUGUGCGGUGCGGGUGGGCGACACUGAGCGGAUAGGGUUAGGGUUGGAGCGGGUGGCCGCGUAUAACACCGCUCACGCGGCCGGGGCGUCGAUGUUUGGGUUGCCACCCAUUUCGCAUUUCGGCCUGUCAAACUGGUACCCAAAUAUUUCGGGCCCGUUUACUUCCAAAAGGCCGAAUUGCAAAUUUUUUUGCUUUUCGGCCUAAAAAUUUGGGAAGUAAACAAGGCCCCGGAUAUAUUUGAUAGUUGGCUCUCCGAAUAGCCAUGAUUGGUUACAAAUGUUUCAGUUUGGAAAACAACAACUGAACUGGAAGUUUACAUUGCGCUAGAUAAUGCUGAGCACCAGGUUGUGGCAAUGUCUUUGCUAUCCCGCGGUAGUCGAGCACCCCAAAGGUAAGCUUCAGUCUUGCAGGCUGUGAUAGUUGCUGCGAUGGAUGUUUGCUCGGACCUGAAAACUUCGUUGUUUCUCCUCUUCCAUACUAUUAUGUGCCAGCAACAAAGGCGAACGAAGGUGAUAAUGUACCCCCUCCGUCUCAAAUUAUAAGUCAUUUUAAGUCUAGAAGAGUCAAAAAAUUUCAAGUUUGACCAAAUUUAUAUAGCACAAUAAUAAUAUUUUUAGUACCAACCAAGUAUCAUUAGAUUCUUUGUUAGUUAUAUUUUCAUAGUGUACCUAUUUUAUGACAUAAAUCUUUAUAUUUUUCUCUAUAUUUUUAGUCAAACUUGAAAAUGCUUUAAUUCUUUAAGAUUCUUGAAAUGAUUUAUCAUUAGAAAUGGAGGGUUAUUUGCUUCGAUUAUUGUACCGGAGUAGGCUACAGUUACAUCACAUCACAGGACUGAUGCGAUGUGAAUGAAUUAUUGCUUCAGCAGGAAGUGGUGGAGCGCCGGGCGACCGUCGAGGCCUUUCUUGUCGUAGUGCGCCAGGAACUCCGGGACCGUCACGCUCCUGUACAGCGCCCUUCCACUUCCCGCGCCAUCGCCGUCGCCGUCGCCGUCGUCCGAGGUGACGAGCUCCGCGAUGGGUCCAUACAGCCUCGUGGACCUCGCGAUGUCCGCGUUGAAGAAGCACGCCACUGACACCCUCGCCGUGUCCCUGCUCCGGUUGGCCACCACCCGGUGCUCCACGCUCCUGAACCGCCCGUUGCUGACCAGCUGGAGGAGGUCGCCGACGUUCACCAGUAGCGCGCCGCCGGGCACCGCCGGAGGCACGUCCACCCACCUGUCCUCGAGCAGCGCCUGCAGUCCUCCCCCCGCGUGCGCGUCCUGGAGCAGCACGGUCAGGAAGCUGGGGUCCGAGUGCGCGCUGCACCCCAUGGUGAGGUCCGGCUCCGGGCACGGCGGGUAGUAGUUGCACACCAGGCUGAGGCCCUCGGCGCACCCCAUCCCGGCGAGGUGCCCGGGCGCCAGCGCCAGGGCCUCCGACAGCAGCGCCAGCACCCGCGCCGCCACCUCCCGCGCCGCGCCGCCGUACUCCAGGAACACGCGCCUCACGGCGGGCGGCAGCUCCUCGGCACGCGGCGGCUCCGGCGCCGCCUCGCAGAAGAGCGUGUCGCGCCAGUUGGCCGCCGGCGACUGGAACAGGUCGAAGUUGGAGUUGAACCGCAGCUUCCGCCGGGCGUCCCGCGUGUAGUAGGGACGCUUCGUCACUGGGGACGCCUCGUUGAACCGCCUCACCGACGCCAGCAUCUCCGACAGGAGCUCGCCGGGGACGCCGUGGUUCACCAGCUGGAAGAACCCCACCGUCUCCGCCGCGGCCUUCACCUGCGCGACCACAUGCUCCCGCGUGGCUGCGUCUGCGUCCGCCGCCGAGAGGUCGAUGACCGGGAUCGAGCUAACAGUGCUGCUGCUGCUGCUGCUGCUAGAGGACGAUACCUGCGGCGGCACGUCCUGGCGGUGGCGGCGGAAGAUGGCGGGGACGGUCGUGACGCCGGCGUCCACGAGGCCCUUGACGCCGGCCUUGGUGUCGUCGAACGCCUUCAGCUCGCUCAGGCGGUCGUAGUCGUCGUAGCCACCAGCGGCUUCUUCCGUGGUGGACAUUGCUGCCGGCCGAGACCGGCCGGGCCGGCGAUCGAAGCGAGCUGGAUGGAUCGAGAUGAGAUGUGUCAGAUCGAUGUUCGUGGAUGUGGAUGUGGUGUGGUUGAUUGCAGUUGGAUGCUUCUCUCAAAUCCGUCAGCACGUACGUAGGCAGUCGACUAGUAUCUUGGAGUCUCGGACAAACAAAUUUAACCUGGGCCUCGUUUUGUUCCGAAAAGUGAAAAGUUUUCAGUACUGUACCACUUUCGUUUGUUUAUGACAAAUAUUAUCUAAUCAUAGACUAACUAGGAUUAAAAAAUUCGUCUCGUGAUUUACAGCUAAACUGUGUAAUUAGUUUUUGUUUUUAUCUAUAUUUAAUGUUUCAUACAUGUGCCACAAAAUUCAAUGUGACGGGAAAUCUUAAAAACUUUUUGGUUUCAGUGUGGUAGGCAGGUGGUACACGUAGCGCACACGCAUUUUCUUCACGAGCACGGAGCACCUGAGCGAUAAAUAUGCUUAGGCCUUGUUUAAUACUCCCUCCGUUUUAAAUUAUAAGUCAUUCCAAAAAUCUUAUAGACUCAAAGUUUUUCAAGUUUGACUAAAUUUAUAUAGCAAAAUAAUAACAUUUUUGGUACCAACCAAGUAUCGUUAGAUUCUUUGUUAGUUAUAUUUUUAUAGUGUACCUAUUUUAUGACAUAAAUCUUUAUAUUUCUCUCUAUAUUUUUAGUCAAACUUAAAAAUGCUUUUACUCUCCAAGAUUCUUAGAAUGAACUGAUGGAGUAGGUGAAAACAAAAAUUAAUUGCACGGUUUAUCUGUAAAUCGUGAGACGAAUCUUUUAAGCCUAGUUACUCCACGAUUGAACAAUAUUUAUCAAAUAAAAAUGAAAAUGCUACAACGUUAAAAUCCAAAAACUUUUUAGAUCUAAACAAGACCUUAGAUAAAGCUUACAUACUUUUCUAACGAGGUUCACUUACGCCUUGUUUAGAUGUGAAAAAUUUUUGGAUUUCACUUAGUGUAGCACUUUCGUUUGUUUGUGGUAAAUAUUGUCUAAUCAAGGAGUAACUAGGGUCAAAAGAUUCGGCUCGCGAUUUACAGUCAAACUGUGUGAUUGGUUUUUGUUUUCGUCUAUAUUUAAUGCUUCAUGCAUAUGCCGCAAGAUUCGACGUGACAGAGAAUUUUUUUAAAAAAAAGAUUUCGGAGUGAACUAAAGAAGGCCUUAAUUAGUGCUUAAGAGGUUAUUUGGCUACGCAUAAAUACAUGUCGAUCCACGUGGAUCGAGAGAGAUUGAGGUGGAAUUUAACACCUUGAUCUCUUCCAAUGCAUGUGGAUUGGUGUGUAACAAAAGCGUUAGGGGAUGUUUGGGACUACUUUGCUCCACAUUUUUCAGCUCCGCUCCAUAUUUUUUAGUCAAAUGGUUUCAGCUCCACGCACUCAGUCUGAGUAAAAAAGGUAGAGUUGUGAGAGCACCUAAAGGGGUACUCCACAAACUCCAGUUUUUUGUGGAGCUGCUCCAUGGUGGAGUUUGUGGAGCAGAGUGUCGUGCGGUACGUUUUAAUUUGAGUCCUUUGAAUUUUAAAAUACAUGCAUAUCUUAUAUUUUGAGACGAAUGGAGUACAAAUAUAUAUAUAAAUAUACUUAAGAGUGUUCCAAAAAAAAGUUAGGUAUUCUCGAAAGAAACAAGUCUACAUAACCUCCCAAACUAUCUAGGGUAGACUACUUCACUCUCGAACUAUAAAACUGGAUAUUCUACCCCGUGAACUUUCAAAACCGGUGAAAUGACCUUCUCGAGUAGUUUUGGAGGGUGGUUUUAUCUUUUUCUUUUUUAUAUAUAAAUAUACUUAAGAGUGUUCCAAAAAAUUUAGGUAUUGCUCGAAAUGCACAUGCAUUACUGUAGAUCUACCCCUGCCUUUGAACAUGUGGUAUCAUUGCUGGUUCAAUAGCUUCAAUAAGAAGUUCUCUACAUAAAGUCUUUAUCACAAAAUUUAGGAAUCAAAUUAAGGGAAAUAGAUUCCUUGGGCCCAUUUAGUUUGGAUUUCGGUGUUUGAUGAUCAAUAUGACCAAUUGGACUGGCAUUAUUUGCUAGUAUAUUUGAUGCAGUUCAACAUGAUGGAAAUGUGGACUUCGACCGAAAAGAAGCAACAAAAUGAAUGAUCAACAUAUCAAGCAAGUAUUUAGGAGCGAAGAUGAAGACCUAGAAGUCAAUAUAUGAGUCCAAGACACAAUUUGAAUGUAAGGAAAAUGGACCCUUGCCCAUUUAGUUCAGAUUUCGGUGUUUGAUUAUCAAUGUGACCAAGUUAGACUAAUGAAUUUGCAAGUGUUUAUUUUGUAGUUCAAUAGGAUGCACGUGUGGACAUGGAUGGGCUUUGAACAAGAAGUUGAUCAACCUAGAAGAGAAGAAUCUAAGUUGCAAUAAAGAAGAAGCUCGGAUAGUCAACGGAUGAAGAAAUGGAGGAAGGUCAGCUACAUCAGCCGCACCGGUCAUGGCUGGUGGUGCACCCAUUGCCUCACCGGACGGGGCAUAGAGAGAGCAUGUCAUGCGGGCUUGUUGACGGUCCUUAACUAUAAUUCUAAACUGUCAACCAAACAUAGAAAAGAGCAUACAAUGGAAUAUCCACAUAGAAUAGGGGUUAUACUAACAGAAUUUCAUAAGUUAUGGUGAAUCAUUGUUUUUGUAGGGGUUUAUCAGGAAAAGAUGAGAAGAAAUGAAGCACAUUGAGCUAAAAGGCAUAUUCUAUUGCGAACCAAGUUAAGAAGGAUCUAGAAGACACGAGAAGGCAACCACUGAAGGGAAGGCCCACCUAGCAUUGAGCAAGGUCGGUCGACCCCACCCUAGGCCGGCUGACCUGGAGUUGGGCCUCUGCCUUUGUAUGUUGGUUCUCCACCGCCAUGAGGUCUAAUCUAUGGCAUUAUUCAAGGUCGGUAUGAUCUAAGGGUUCUGCUUCAUCCCACCGGCCUAUAUAAGGAGACCCCUACCCCCUGGGUUGAGGGCACCAAGUCGACCAAGUCAUUUAAUCAAGUCAUCAGAGCUAAAAACCAUAGUCUCCUUAGAGCUUCACCAAUUCUAGAGCAUAGCUACAUAGGAUAGAAGUAGGAGGAGGCAAGCUUCGCUUGGAUUCUGGAUCAUGUUAAGAGCGUUGGAGCGUGUGGUAGGCAGGUGGUACACGUAGCGCACACGCAUUUUCUUCACGAGCACGGAGCACCUGAGCGAUAAAUAUGCUUAGGCCUUGUUUAAUACUCCCUCCGUUCUAAAUUAUAAGUCAUUCUAAGAAUCUUACAGAGUCAAAGUUUUUCAAGUUUGACUAAAUUUAUAUAGCAAAAUAAUAACAUUUUUGGUACCAACCAAGUAUCGUUAGAUUCUUUGUUAGUUAUAUUUUUAUAGUGUACCUAUUUUAUGACAUAAAUCUUUAUAUUUCUCUCUAUAUUUUUAGUCAAACUUAAAAAUGCUUUUACUCUCUAAGAUUCUUGGAAUGAACGGAUGGAGUAGAUGAAAACAAAAAUUAAUUGCACAGUUUAUCUGUAAAUCGUGAGACGAAUCUUUUAAGGCUAGUUACUCCACGAUUGAACAAUAUUUGUCAAAUAAAAAUGAAAAUGCUACAGCGUUAAAAUCCAAAAACUUUUUAGAUCUAAACAAGACCUUAGAUAAAGCUUACAUACUUUUCUAACGAGGUUCACUUACGCCUUGUUUAGAUGUGAAAAAAUUUUGGAUUUCACUUAGUGUAGCACUUUCGUUUGUUUGUGGUAAAUAUUGUCUAAUCAUGGAGUAACUAGGGUCAAAAGAUUCGUCUCGCGAUUUACAGUCAAACUGUGUGAUUGGUUUUUGUUUUCGUCUAUAUUUAAUGCUUCAUGCAUAUGCCGAAAGAUUCGACGUGACAGAGAAUUUUAAAAAAAAUUUAGAUUUCGGAGUGAACUAAAGAAGGCCUUAAUUAGUGCUUAAGAGGUUAUUUGGCUGCGCAUAAAUACACGUCGAUCCAAGUGGAUCGAGAGAGAUUGAGGUGGAAUUUAACACCUUGAUCUCUUCCAAUGCAUGUGGAUUGGUGUAUAACAAAAGCGUUAGGGGAUGUUUGGGACUACUUUGCUCCACAUUUUUCAGCUCUGCUCCAUAUUUUUUAGUCAAAUGGUUUCAGCUCCACGCACUCAGUCUGAGUAAAAAAGGUGGAGUUGUGAGAGCACCUAAAGGGGUACUCCACAAACUCCAGUGUUUUGUGGAGCUGCUCCAUGGUAGAGUUUGUGGAGCAGAGUGUCAUGCGGUACGUUUUAAUUUGAGACCUUUGAAUUUAAAAAUACAUGCAUAUCUUAUAUUUUGAGACGAAUGGAGUACAAAUAUAUAUAUAUAAAUAUACUUAAGAGUGUUCAAAAAAAAAGUUAGGUAUUGCUCGAAAGAAACAAGUCUACAUAACCUCCCAAACUAUCUAGGGUAGACUACUUCACUCUCGAACUAUAAAACUGGAUAUUCUACCCUCUGAACUUUCAAAACCGGUGAAAUGACCUUCUCGAGUAGUUUUGGAGGGUGGUUUUAUCUUUUUCUUUUUUUAUAUAUAAAUAUACUUAAGAGUGUUCCGAAAAAUUUAGGUAUUGCUCGAAAUGCACAUGCAUUACUGUAGAUCUACCCCUGCCUUUGAACAUGUGGUAUCAUUGCUGGUUCAAUAGCUUCAAUAAGAACCUCUCAAUAAGAAGUUCUCUACAUAAAGUCUUUAUCACAAAAUUUAGGAAUCAAAUUAAGGGAAAUAGAUUCCUUGGGCCCAUUUAGUUUGGAUUUCGGUGUUUGAUGAUCAAUAUGACCAAUUGGACUGGCAUUAUUUGCUAGUAUAUUUGAUGCAGUUCAACAUGAUGGAAAUGUGGACUUCGACCGAAAAGAAGCAACAAAAUGAAUGAUCAACAUAUCAAGCAAGUAUUUAGGAGCGAAGAUGAAGACCUAGAAGUCAAUAUAUGAGUCCAAGACACAAUUUGAAUGUAAGGAAAAUGGACCCUUGCCCAUUUAGUUCAGAUUCCGGUGUUUGAUUAUCAAUGUGACCAAGUUAGACUAAUGAAUUAGCAAGUGUUUAUUUUGUCGACGGGGAGGACGAGCGUGGUCUUUUUCCCUCGAGGGGGCGGCUGCUGAUGGACCGACACCUCCUUUUCGUUGUGGGCCGGCUCGUCGUGCUUUUCUAUGGCCGCUCCUCGACGUCGAGAGGCCGAGCUCUCUGCCUGCUGGACUGCCGCCACCUGAAGUAGAGUCUGCACCUCGUCUCGGAUGCGCCGUGCCUGGGAGUUCGAAGGCUCGGGCAUGUUACGCAAUAGCAUCGUUGCCGCCACGACGUUCGGGCCCGCUCGAGGGAAACGGCUGACGGGCUGCUCAGGUUUUGUGUCUUCGACGAUCUGCCGGUGUACUUCUCGAGCCCGUCUGUGGACACUUCCGCCAGGCAGGUAGGGCAGGUCCUGCUCGAGGAUCUGCUCAAGCAGAACAAGGCGCUCACGAUCCUCGUCAAGCUUUGCCUUGAGCUCUUGUAGCUGCGCAAUUUGCACGGCUCUGUCUUCUUGUGGAGCGGGGUUGACUUGACCGUCGUUCCCAGACGUCCUGGGGUCUUCCCUUGCGGCAUGGGCUCGACCGCCAGCAGCAGCGUCUUGUGUUUCAUCGGUAGUUUCCACCGCUCCGUCGAUAUUGAAGCACUCCCUGGUAGGGUCAUAGCUGUCGGAUUCCGAGCCGGAGUCCGGCUCGGCGGCGUAGAAGCAUCCGCGUUCUUCCUCCAGCAGCCGCUGCCUGAGGGAGGUAAUCGUGUACCGCCCAGGGCCUAGGCGGCGGAGGCCUCGUACCUAUGAGAAGUCUGGUAGCUCGGACGUUUGUGGCUGUGCUCCAGGGUCGCGUGGGAGGACCAUUGGUCUCUCCACGUAGGUCUGGGCGUUUGGACAUAUUGCCCUGGCGAGCGAUGCCGCGACAUUGUCCAGGACGAACGGCAAUGCUCUUCUUGAGGCGAACAGCCCGUGUGGAAGUAGCCUGGCGGUGGGGGAGAGCGCGCGGGGCGCGUCAACUCUUGUCGUCGUGUGAUCCUCGCGGAGCUGAGCCAUCAUGCCCACGGCUUCGGCGCGCAGUGCGGUCGGCUCCUGUGUCGCCUCCUGCCUGGCACGAACUGUCGGUCAUGACGAGGCAGAAGGGCGAUGGUGGUGCUGUCCACGCCUCUUCUUGGGCGGGGAGGCGUGGUGGCGAGGACGUCUCGGGGCCCUCGUCCGUGUUGGCGCAACGCGGUCUCCUCCCGGUCCUUUGAUCGAGAGCAAGAUCAUGUCAUAGCCGGAGCCAGUAGACAUGAACUCGAGACUCCCAAACCAAAUCACCGUGGAGCGCGGAAUCGGUGAAGCAAAAGUGGCCAUCUAGAAAAGAAUGGGAAAUCGGUGAAAAACGCAGGACCCCUAUCUGGUGCGCCAACUGUCGGUGUUUUCCCCAUGGGGGGUCACACCAACGACUAAAUUUGUAUGCGUGUCCCUUUCCCAGAUGGUGAUGCAAAAAGACACAAAGAUUUAUCCUGGUUCUGGCAAGAGAAGGCCCUACGUCCAGCAGGGGGGGAGAGUUUGUAUUAUUCUGCACCUAAGUGCUUGUAUAGGGGCGAAUACAAGCGUGUAUGGAUGAACCGGGGUAGAGUGGAGGUGCACUACUACGGUUGUCUUGUGUUGUGGUGUGUUGCCUUGCCUGUUGUUAUCUCUUCCCGGGUCUCCCCUUUUAUAGUUCCAAGGAGGAGCCAGGGUACAAGUAUAGGCGUCAGAGUAGGGGUCGAUAGAGGUAUGGCGCGCGGACCUACUCGAGGCCUCCGUACCGGCGUGGCCUCGAGCCGUCCCAUCUUGGUAGCUUGAUGAUGAUUACGCGUGCCCCUGUAUCCUGCUCUGUGCGCCGUCUUGGACUGGCUCAUCUGUUGCACGCCUGUACGUCAUGGCGGCAGAUACGUCGGAGUGGUAGCAGUGUUGUCAUUCGACGCCCAACCCUUCCCCAGGAAGGAAACGUGUGUGGUCGAGGGUCGGACGCCGUGUAGCGCCUUGCUAUCCAGAGCGUUGACCAUGGACAUCUCGAGGGGGUCUUGAUUAGACGUUCUGACCAUGCUUCCUGUGUCCUGACAAGCCCUGGGUUAUUUGGUGGGGAAGGCUGCAAAAAGGAAUGAUGGGACGGGUGCCUGUUCCCUAUCACGCUUCCCGUGACCUACAUGUUAGGUGAGAACACGACAGGCGCAUUAAAUGCCCUAGUUCCCAUGCCCGCGUCAGGCGGCGGGCGGCGUCCUUGCGCUCGACGCCUUCCGAUUCGCUCGAGCCUGCUUCCGUAUUCGACGGUAGGCGGUGCUCGAGCCCUGAUCGAUUCGCUCGACACCCUUUCUGUCUUCGAGGCUGCGGUUGUUGAUGACCGUACGCGUGACUGAUCAGAGCGUCGAGUAGGAGGCCUCGAAUUGUGUAUGGAUAAUCCCGACAUGGACAUCAGUUGGGGUACCCCUUACUGAUAUCCUCGACAGUAGCCCCCGAGUCUCCAUUUGAGCGCUGGCGCUCGAGUGGAGGCUAUAUUUCAUAAUCGAGGUUCCGUGGGGGCGCGCGAGCGACCUCGCGGGGGUAGCCCCCGAGCCCUUGGAGGAGUUUUUGACUCCUUCGAGGGUUAUAUCACCUAAUGUGCAGAAACACUGUCGACACCUGUGGUGGAAGGUGCUGAUUGGCUCGUUCUGCGUGGGGGUUUCGACGUACUCUCGAUAGAGCGAGCGUCAUCCACCUCAGAUUGAGUUCCUAACGGGUAGUCCAAGUGAGAACCUGUGCCCCUUUCGAGGAGGUCAGCUGUAGCCCGGAGGCGUUCUCAUAAAGCGGGGUCGAUGUGGUCAGGGAUGCUGGUCUCAUUCAAUAGAGUCCAGUGGCUCGAUGCCUCCCAUCAGGGGGAUUCCUCUCGACUGUCUCGACCCUGCCUUGGACAUCCCCAGCGAGUUCUCGAGGCGGGCCUUGAGUUUCGACCACUCGCCGGGCAUCCCUGACUCUGGUGCUCGAGAUCGGCUGUCGAACCCUUUCGGCGGGUCAGCCUGCGACCUCUCGAGACUCUCGUAGGUGCGUACCUUGGCUUACAAAGGAAGGAAUAGGCCGCGGCGGUUCACCUUUUUGCCCGUUGGGCGCGUCUUUUAAUGCGGGAGCCGUUGCGACAUUGUAUCGGCGCAGAAUUCGUAGCGUCCCGUCUGUGAGAGGAAAAAAGACCGUUAGGCGGCGCAUUUAUGGGGGAAGUUACCGUAUUUAUCAGAUCUGCCCAUUGGUGGUUGCCGUCUAUAAAUAUCCCGUGGCCCGGUCGCCGUUCUCCCUUCUGCCUUCUGCCCUCAUUCCUGCCUUUGCUCCCUUGCCAUCUCACGCACGCGCGCACCCUCGAACAGUAGCGAAUCUGCUCUCCUUUCACCCAAGGAUGCCUGUGAGACUCGUCGCCGCCGACGACUGGCGCCCGUCGUCGAUGACGGAGCGCCGGCUGCUGGAGCUCGAGAGGGAGGGGCUUCUGUGCCCCCGCACUUCAUCGUCGCGACCGGAAUGGAUGGCACCGGCGGCGGACCACCGGGAGCCCAGGCCGCCCAUUGGCUAUGUGGUAUCUUUCGCCAAGUUCCACUGCCACAGCCUGGGCGCUCCUUCGAGCCGCUUCAUGCGGGCGCUCUGCCACCACUACAGGGUGGAGCUCCAGCACUUCUCCCCAAAUGCCAUCACCGUCGCGGCGGUUUUUGCCGUGGUGUGUGAGAGCUAUUUGGGGAUGAUGCCCCACUAGGAGCUGUGGCUCCACCUCUACAGGGGCGAGCUCUUCAACGCCCCCACCGGCACCACAGGCGUGAGGAAACCCGUACGGGCGGGGUGCCUCAACCUUGUCCUGAAGACCGGCAAGACGGAGAGGCCGCGCGAGUACAUCCCGGUGGGAUUGACCUCGAACCACGCUAGAUGGGACUCCUAGUGGUUCUACUUGAGGAACGACGACGGUCUCCUUCUGCCUACACCGGCCGUCUAAUCACGGAGCGUCGUCCAAGUCCAUCAGUCACGGCUCGACCCCCUCCUCGAUGCCUUGAAGAAACUACGCGAGGAAGGCCUGUCCGUCGCUCUCGUCCUCUCGGCCGUCCAUCAUCGGAGGAUUCUCCCGCUGAUGUCUCGGCUGCUGAGGAUGGAUGAGAUGGGUCCCGGCGUUUCGUUCCGGGACCUCGAGGCGUGCCGGAUGUCCAACGAGGCUCCGGCGGACGACGAGGUCGCGGCCCGGGUCAGGGCGGCCGUCGCCGGCGACUUCCAGCCGGAGCACGUCAACAGCUUCCCCAUGAGGCCUGACGUGGGCUCGAUCGACCUGGUAAGUUCUUUUCCUUGCGUAUGGUUUUGAUUCUGGAUUUCCUUCGAUCCUCUUUUUAAACCUGUCCUUGCUCUUGCAGGGACCGAUCGACGUUCGGUCCUCGAGGCCUCCAGUAAAGGAGGACGGGGUCGACCGUGACAAGCGGCGUCAGUCCACAGAAAAGCAGAAGUUCGCAAAGGACUCAGAAAAGAAAGAGAAGAAGAAGAAAAAUCUCGACCGCCAAUCGUUAGAGGCGCGUCGAGCCAGGGCCAGGCAAAGGGGGAGCCUGAAGAAGAAUCCCCUAGUGAGGACGACGGUGGCGACGGCAACGACGACAGCGACGACUCCGAGGGGAUGGCAUCUCGCCUCGAUCAGAUCCUCGAGGGUCCGCCUCGAGGCGACGUCGACACUGUCCCACGGACGGGAGCGCCAAAAGAGGGGCAGGCGGAUCUCACCGCUCCCGGGCUGACACUCCUCCCGCGCCUGCGCCAAGUCGGGCCGUCCCGCACCACCAACUUCCUCCUGCACCGAAGACGGGUGGCCGGGCUAAGCCCUAGGCGACGGGGCCGUUGACCCGUGGCCGCGCCUUGGCCUCCGAAAAGGGAGACAUUGGAUGCAGGAGCGCUAGCCCUGGCGCUCGCCAGGUGGGAGAUGCUGGACCAAGGCCCGCGCCUGCCCGUGAGGGGCCUGGAGCCUCGACGCGGGGUGGUUCGAGGCCCACCGGUCGAGGUACCGGCAGGCGAGCCGUUUGUUGGGUAUUUUAAACGCAAACAGAAAAAUCCGCAAGCGCACGGAUACCGAUGUAGCUUUCACCCGGGAGUAUUCCAGAGUAUCGAUUUUCCACAAAGAACGUGAGUGUACUAAUUAAGAUCCAAGAUCGCCCAAGGAUAACUAUAUAAUUAUUUUUAUUAGGAAGAGAGGAAGUUUCCUAAGAGUUCUCUAGUUGAUCUAAGAAUCAAGAAUUACUUCAAGAUUAUCUAUUUCGGGACAUCAGAGCACUAACCACAGAAAGAGAUGAGAAGGGGGCUAGGAAGGUCUGACCACGGUUCUACAAACACCGAUCCGAACGAGGUGGAAUACGUCGACCGUUAGGGCUGUCACUACCCUAAGGCUACCACAACAAUCCGCAGGAUUGGGUGCAAUUCCAGGUAAUUGCAAGACUAAACACCACGUCUAAUCUAUUAAUUACUACUCUAGCGUUAUAAAGACUAGAGCACUUGAUGCAAGCGGGAAUCCAAUAAAUAACUUGAAUGUAAAUAAAAGUAAUUAAAGAACUCAAGAAUUAUGAAUUGAAGAACCUGGAGAACGAUGAAGAACGAACCAGUUGCUGCAAAAGUAUAAUGUUGAGGAAGAUCCGACAGAUCCGGCUCCUCCUCCGCUCUCCUCUUCUCUCUCCCUAUUUUCUAGAUUACAACUAGAACUAACUAGAACUAGAACUAGAGGAACUAGAACUAGAACUAGAUGAACUAGAACUAGAUCUAGAUGAACUAGAGGUAGAACUAGAAGAACUAGAGGGAUCCUCUCUACUUGGAUGAAGAAUUGAAACCCUAGCUUUGAUUCUGUAGAAGAGGUAUGCUCUCCAGGGGCCAGGGGGUCUGGUUUUAUAGUCCCUUCAAGUGAAUCUGGGCCGUUGGAUCAAACUGACACUAAUCGCACGGUUUUCCUUGGUCCCUUAGGUCGGUGGAGCACGAUCCGCGAAGUUGAAGCUGAUUGGUUACUUUAGCUGGGCGGGCACCCAAGGGACUUGGGCGGGCGCCCUGCCCCCAGGCCCGAUCGGCCUCCCGUUCGUUCCCGUGGCUUCUGGAGUCUUCUAGAUGGUAGAAAAUUGCGCGGCACGUUAAUAUCUCUAUGUAAACCCGACGUAUGGGCCUUUCUUUCAUAUUUCCUGAUAACCCCCUGCAGAAAUAAACAAACACCAAAACUCAUGGAAUUCUGUCAAAUAAAACCCUAAGUCUAGGUGUUGGUUCCAUUUAGAUCCUUUUCCAUGAUUAGUUAAUGGUUAAAUGUGAGCAUUAAGGACCGUCAACAAGAUCCCCCAAGCUUAACCUUUGCUCGUCCCUGAGCAAAGAUGGACUCAAGAGUUUCUGCAGUGGUUUUAUGCCUUAAAAAUACACAUUCGUUCAAACAAGAUCUCAUCUCUGGGUUAGGGUAAACUGUUAAGAUUUAAAACUUACUCAUUUUACCUUCCACCAUGGGGCUUGCAACCGUCACUUGUGUCUUGAGUAGUUAAAAGAUAGAACGAUCUAGUCAAGCGUCAUGUCUCUUGUUCUUCGAUUAACUAUAGCUCUGGAGUUUUUGUAGAUUUUUAAAUAAAACUCAGAGAUUCCUUGUAUGACUCUCUCUAGUCUCUCUUUUGUGGUAUUUCUGGAUCCUUACCAAGGCAAUAAUGGUGUAUGCCUUCUCUCAAAGUAUGUGGUAUUUUUGGUAUGAGGCAUAGUGGCAUUGCCUACUCUCUCACCCUACUCUAAUAAGGUUUUGAUAUCUGGAGCUCAUAGGUAGGAGACAGCUAAUACAUACUUACAAGACAUUUAUUGCAUAGUCAAACCAUGGAUCCAGAAGAACAAGUCAAUAAGUCAAAUCAAGAUGUGCAUGUGUGGCGAAUGAAUGGUGAUAAUGGUGAAUGUAAUGGUGAAAGUCUAAUUCUACUUUUGCUCUUUUGAGGGGGUACAUACCUUUCUUGCUCUUUUGAAACUUUUUGAGGAGAAUGAGAUGCUCUAUAUUUUCUUUUUCUUUUCUCUCAGGUGGGUAUCUUGUACCCCUAAUUCUACUGUCGGACACUUAUCCAUUUUUACCUCUCGUCUUACUUUUUCUUUUCUUUCGAGUUUCCGGGCACUUGCCCCUUUUUAUUUCCUCGCAUCUUCUCUUUUUUUUAGAGCAUUCAUCUCUUGAAAUAAUAUUGCAAGUGGUAGUAACCAAGAUAACUUGAGCAUUUAUUUCACGGGAAAUAACAGGGAUAUGAUAAUGUUUUUGGCUAUUCUCUCCUAGAUAGGAGUAGAAUAAUUUUGAAUGAAUCUGGAGAUGAAAUGGGUGGAUAUAUGUGGAUGCGUACUUCUUGAGUAGAAGCAGCAUGUAUGAGUGAACGUGCAAGUGAAUCUUGAUUUAACCACAUGACAAGCUCCUAAGGGUCUACACAGCUUGACCACACUCAAUGCUCAUAAGGAGUAAAAAGUAAAUGUGUGGCUCAAAGUCUAGCAAGCAUGUAUAUAUGGCUGUGGUAAUUAUUUUAACUCUCAUCAUACAGG
rnacentral:lncRNA from 1 species